rnacentral:lncRNA from 1 species
CCGCCGCCGCCUCCUUCCUAGCCCCCUCCAAACCCCCAGCUCAGCUAAGCCAUCGGAUCUCCCCCUCCAUGCCCAGAGCCAAGUAGAUAGACCCCCCACCGGCGCACGAACCUUGAGGCAGGCAGCGCGGCCGGCCGGCCACCUGAUGGCGUCCGUGGCGGAGCUCAAGGAGAAGCACGCGGCGGCGACGGCCUCGGUCAACUCCCUCCGGGAGCGGCUCCGCCAGCGCCGCCAGACGCUCCUCGACACCGACGGUGAGGCCCUCUCCCGGGAACCUCUCGAGGGUUUGCUUGCUUGUGGAUUCGGGAAACUGUUGUUGCUGACUGACUGCUCCGUGUGUUGGCGGUGCGUGCAGUGGAGAAGUACUCCAAGGCGCAGGGGCGGACGGCGGUGAGCUUCAACCCCACGGAUCUGGUGUGCUGCCGCACGCUGCAGGGCCACAGCGGAAAGGUUCGCCCCUUUGGUUGACUUCUUCGGCCUCUUGCCUCCGUUUCGGCACACGGAGGAGUUCAAUUUUGAAGUAGGCACGAGUGAGGUCUCACGCUUGUUAGUAGUUGUUAGUACUCCAAUUGUGGAAAUGGUGGUGCUAGUAUGAGCAAUUCAUAACCGAGUUUGAUUGCCGAGAAUAAGAUUUGGACAUAUGUAAAGGAAACAACCUGGAUUAGUAUGAGGUUUGGUCCCUCCAGUCGCGUACCUUGACAUUGAGAGGAUGAGUGCUUGUUUUGAAGAGGCUGCUGUUUUGGCCUAAUUUGUCAUGAAUUGAGACAGUCUUUUAGACUAACUUGAAGUCAGCUUCGGGAAUGGUGGUGGGAAUAGCUUCAAUUAGAGAGGAAGAGAAGAUAGCUUCAUGCAAAGGGAAUAACUUCAAUUAAAGGGAGCAGAGGAGUCGUGCCUAUUGGCGCCAAAAGCAAAAGGAAAAUUGGGGCAAACUUGUCUUUUUAUACCAUACUCAUGGCGGUAACCGUUAAGAUAACAGCAAGGUCGUUGCGCAUAAUUUUACAUGUUAUAAGGAAACUGAGCAGUGUUCAGUUGGCUAGCGUCCACGUCUGUGAGCUCACCCACCCGCGUUCGAGGCACCACCUCCGCAGGUGCCUCGAUUCUUAUAUUAAGUAAAAAGCCCUCGGUGCUAGUGCCCAUCGGUCGAGUUUUCAAGGUCGUUGGGCGUAAUUUUACGUUUUACAAGGAUUUUGUUAUCGCUGUCGUGGUCCAAGAUAAUUGCAGUGUUAUCUAGCAAAGUAUCAAAUCUCUGGUCUGCUCUUGAGUCAAGUCUCUCGCAAAAUUAUGGAUGCACUGAAGUAUUUAGCAUGCCGUGGUUCUUAGUUUACUAUUUUGGCUCUGCUUUCCUAAUCAGGUAAUCCGUAAUCAUGCCUAUGGGUAGAAUGUGUGGUUGGGUUGAAUUGCAAUUUUGAUGAUUUACUUGAUUUAGAUUUUUCUUAAAUCCAAGUGAGAAAUGGGUAUGAGCAGUCUACUCGAAUCCGUUCCUUCCAUUGUUCCAUACCCUUGUAAAUGAGUCAAUAGUACAACCAAAGCUUCAGUACCAACACUAACUAUCUGUGAGAUGCUCAUUGAUGUCCCACGUGGAAUGUGCCACUUGCAAUCACCGAAGCUCAAGGUUGAGCCUGUUGGUGAACCCAUGUGGCCUGAUUUAAAUAGCCCUAAUCCCUCUCCAUAGUAGCAUUUCCUUGGCAAUUAUUUCUGUUUUGUUUUGAAAUAUAACCGCUAUGCUGUUCUGUAGUCCUUUUGUGUGAAUCCUCUUUUUAUUUGAGGGCAUGUUAUUGUUUGACACCAACUGAAAUAAAAAAAUAUUUAGCGUGGAAGAACUCGAGUUUUGAGAACAGGUAUGCGGGUUGUUGCCAUUUUUUAGAGCAUUGCAAUUCACAGAUAGAACCCUGGUGCUAAGAAAUUUUGAUCGGUUGGUCCUUCGAACUGCUCUAUCUGCCUAAUUAUAUGCUCCGUCAAUUUGUUUUGUUUGUUGAGCGAUUUGGAUUUCUUUCUAGGACAGUACCUCACACAGUUGCUUAUGUUGAAAUGUUUAAUGGCUUCAUGGUUUUGUAACUAGUACUAAGUACUAUCUCUGACUCAACACAGGUAUAUUCUCUGGAUUGGACUCCUGAGAAGAACUGGAUAGUUAGUGCCUCACAAGAUGGAAGACUAAUUGUAUGGAAUGCUUUAACGAGUCAGAAAACACAUGCCAUAAAGCUACACUGUCCAUGGGUGAUGACAUGUGCUUUUGCACCCAAUGGUCAAUCUGUUGCUUGCGGCGGUCUUGAUAGUGCAUGCUCUAUAUUCAACCUUAGCUCACAAGCAGACAGAGAUGGGAACAUGCCAGUAUCAAGAGUACUUACUGGACACAAAGGCUAUGUUUCAUCCUGUCAGUAUGUCCCAGACCAGGAAACCCGCUUGAUUACAGGCUCAGGUGACCAAACGUGUGUCCUGUGGGAUGUUACUACUGGCCAGAGGAUAUCAAUCUUUGGAGGUGAAUUUCCAUCAGGGCAUACAGCUGAUGUCUUAAGGUAAUUGUCUUUUUCUGAUGGCAUUCAAUUUAACAUCAUGCUUACUGUCGUGGUAUAUUGGUUCUUAUUUUAUGACCAAAACAAUGUGACACUGUUCAAGUUUCAUUGAUUAUGUUGAGUUGAACAAAGUUCCAUGGUAUUGAUUUGAAAGCAUCACCUAUUAAUCUUACACCUUGUCUGAAUGGGCCGUAUUUGUAAAGAAAGAAUAUGUUUCACCUUUUGGCAGUGCAAGUUUACUUUGUCUGAUUAGUAAUAAACUAAUAAUCAGUAGGAAAUGUACUGCAUGGCUGCACAUGCAGCGUUUGGUCAGUGAGACUUCUCUGUCAAUUGUUGUUGAUAUAGAUCAUCUACAACCCCAAAACACCAUUCCUUUUGGUUCGCACAACCAAAAAUUUAUUAUGGUCUAAUUAUUAAUCAAGUAGCUGAUGUGAUAUCUUGGCAAUGUGGCCGCAUGCUUGUUUCACAGCUUUAUAAGUUGCUAUACUUUUUAUGUCCAUACUCAUAGUGUUCUGAUCUUUUUUUUAUCCCUUUCAGUCUGUCCAUCAACUCGUUAAACACGAAUAUGUUUAUCUCGGGUUCAUGUGAUACAACUGUAAGGUUAUGGGAUCUCAGGAUUGCAAGUCGGGCAGUUCGGACAUAUCAUGGACAUGAGGGCGACAUUAACAGUGUCAAGUUUUUCCCUGAUGGUCAGAGGUUCGGUACUGGUUCAGAUGAUGGUACAUGCAGAUUAUUUGACAUGAGAACAGGGCAUCAACUUCAAGUGUACAAUCGGGAGCCCGAUAGAAAUGAUAAUGAGCUCCCCAUCGUUACAUCUGUCGCUUUCUCCAUAUCAGGAAGGCUUCUUUUUGCUGGAUACUCUAAUGGUGACUGUUAUGUGUGGGACACGCUUCUUGCCGAGGUGUGCAUUUUACCCAUUUCCCAUGUAUUUGAUUGCAGCUUUUAGAUAAUGGGAUGAAAACCAGACAUGUAAAAAUAAGACUGAUCAAGUUUUACUGCGAAGCUACAACUAAAUUUCAUACGGUUGAAAAGGAAACAUAGUUUGACUAUACAAUUUAUUUACCAUAGAAAAAUCAGAUCAAAGUUCAGAAAUGCUAAGCCUGGUUAGUAACACCACUAGAUUGAUCUUUAAAUUGUAUAAGCUUCACUUCAUUACAGUCCAGCAAUACUUUAGCCAUUCUGAUGUGAUUGUAAAGCUGUAAUUAUCAAGUGAAAAUUAACCACAUUGGAAAAGAAUAUCAGUUACGGAGAACUAGCUGCAUUUCCCCUUUGACAUAUGGCUCACAAAAUAACAAUCAUGAUAACACAUAAUGCGUUGUUUACAUUUGGGUAUGGUCUACUUGAGUACGCAUCCCAUCUUAUGACAUUAGUUUCUGCAGCAUCUCUAUGCAAUUCAUGCAUUAGUAGUGUUGUUGUAGAUCACCUUGUAGAUUCCUGCUAUAGGCCAAAAAUGCUUCAGAGAAUAGAGUUUAGACUGCACCAAGCUGCCAACACAAGGCUUUACUGCGAGUUGAUCCCAUACUGUAGAACCCUCUGGACCUGAUGAGUUUAUCCUCAGUGGCCAGUGGCCAGUGAACUACCCAUGCUGUUUGGCUAGGCUAGUUGUUGAAGGUUGUGACCUCGUGGUUCGAGCUACAAUUAGUUUUCAGUUUUUUGCAGCGCCUCCUUUGGCCAUGCUUUUAUUUUUAGAUUCAGACCCCUUGGUGCCUUGUGAGCCUUCAGUUUCCUUCCUAUAAUUGAUCAGGAAGAGAGAGUGCCCACAAAUAACUUACAUAUUCUAGCUUUUAUGAGCUCAAGCUAUUAGCCUAUUAGGACUACUCUUGUGGCGUUUGGUGAAAUAUAGAACAUCUGCCGCAUAUCAUGAAUCAUCCAUCUUCCUAUACUAUUAAAACUGUGGUUGAUCUGUGAAUACUUUUAAAAAUGACUCAGAUGGUGCUUAAUUUGGGAACUCUCCAAAACUCUCACGAAGGCCGUAUAAGCUGCCUUGGGCUGUCAUCCGAUGGGAGUGCAUUGUGUACAGGAAGCUGGGACAAAAAUUUGAAGGUAAGGAUGUGUUUUCAAUGUGAAAAAUAAAUAAUCUUGCGGACUACUUGAUCAGUUGCAUGGCAUGGCAUGGCAUGAACUGUUGUAGGGCAAAGUUUACAUAUGCCAAUGCCGUUACUCUAAACUGGGCUAGAAAGGAAAUAUCAGUUGUAGGACAAAGUUUACAUACGUAGGACGUCUUAUGCUAUAUUUCCAAAAUUAAUGACUUUGUCCAUCUUUUGAAACAAUUGCGCACAUUGUGGUACAUUCAACAUAUACUGAAAGGGUGCAUGCCUUUUAUUUUGCAAUACCUGUUUUGUUUAGCUCUUGCUUUGCUAUCAGUGAAAGUACUUCUCGGUGGGGUUAUAGACAGAUUUUCCCUCUCAAUGAGGUACUGUACUAUUUGUUACCAAUGGAGAGACCUGCAAGUGAAAUGGAAUGAACUUUAGUCGACUCCAGCAUUCUAUCUAACCGUCGAAAAAUUGCUGCCUGUUGAAAACUUCCAGAUCUGGGCUUUCAGUGGACACCGCAAGAUAGUCUGAAGCCCCAGCGCGUGUUCUCCCCGUGCUGUACGUUCCUCGUCGCGAGUUGGGGGGGUGGUUGGCCAACUCGAAAGGUUCCUGAAGAUGAAGCCGUCCGUUUUGUAGCAUGGAAUCCAUGAAUCUCCUGUUGUUUCCAAUGGAAAUCGCAGUUUGCCGAGACAGAGUGUGCUGUGCGAUGUUGUUGCGCCUGGUCAAGUCAGCGUACUGUUGUUUAUAGAGUUGCCAGAAAGCAAGCAGCGCACAUGUGAUAUUUUCUGCCCUUGUUGUGUACAACUAUAUAUUUUUAGCUGUAGAAAAUGAAGCCGAAUUGUUAGAACCAAGAAUCAAUUUGUUCGUUUCUGGAGUAAGAUGAGAAAUGCGAGCUUCAUUUCCUGUGUGCUGUGAUGGUUGACAGGACCGUUCAGUGAGCCAUCCACUAUCGUGUUGUGUACAAUACAAUCCAGUGGCCCACGUAUUUCACUGCCUGGCUGUCUGUAUACUUCAACACCAUACUACCUUGUGAAAAGAAGAAUCCUUUAUUUCCUAUUCUACGAUGCAGUCAAACAAACCAAAAUUCUUAGAAUUCCAAUGGGCAUGGCAUGGCAUUGCAGCCAGAUAACAUUUUUGUAUUCCUGCAUUUUAAGAAUGUUGUGGGUCUUAUUUGAUUCGAAGGAUUCUCAAAAUGCAAGAACAGAAAACGUGCCCAGUGCAGGAUAAACUAAGGUCACAGAACCAUCUUAACACCUGCAGCGUUCAUGGAUGCAACAUUCAACAUCUCGAUUGUAAGAGAUCACGGGAUUCCAUUUAACAUGACACACAACCAUCAAAGGUGGGUACCUUCCCUAGGGUUCCACCAUCAACCUAAACCUUAACACAGACCACUUCUCUAGAUCUAUCUACCAGGGCUCGGAGCUCAGACGCCGGUGGACCCGAACCCUCCCUCCCCGCGGACGGUGGCGUCGAGGUCCUCCACCUCGGCGACCUCCGGCGUCGCUAUCACCUGGACGAUCAUCUGCGCAACGCGGUCGCCGGGCUUCACGGCGAAGUCCACCUCCGAGUGGUUGAAGAGCACGACGCCCACCGGGCCGCGGUAGUCGGCGUCGAUCACCCCGGCGCCCACGUCGAUGGCGUGCUUCAGCGCCAGGCCCGACCUCGGCGCUGCAAAGAAGACGAACGAAGCGGUGGGCAUUUCGUCAAACACCCGACGCGCAGCCAAGAAACGUGGUCCGAGAAAAAAGAAGAGGGACUCACCGAUGCGCGCGUAGGUGCCCUCCGGGAUGGCGAUGCUCAGGUCGGUGGCCACCAGCGCCUUGCCCCUCGCCGGCACGACCGUCUCCACCGCGCUGAGAUCGGACACAGAAACGGUGAGGGGGACAGGAAAAUCAUGGGCGAGAGGCCGGAGGUGAGAGUCCCUGGCAAUGGAGCGGGCACGUACCUGGAGAGGUCGUAGCCGGCGGCGAGGGCGGAGCCGCGGGACGGCAGGAUGGCCUUGUCGGAGAGCUUCUUGACCUUGAGCAGGGGCGCCAUCUUGGUGAUCUUGUGGGGAGGCUCGUGCACGGGGUCGGCGCCAGCGCCGUUGGUGGCGGCCAUUGCGACGGACGGGAGGGUUCUCGGUGGCCGGCGGCGAGAGAUAGAAGGAGAGGAGUCGAGCAGGAGUUGGAGCUGGAGCUGAGGGCGGCCGUGGGUGCGGCGGGGGACGAUAAAUAGGGAGGCGGCGGGGCGGGAAAUGAAGCGGAUGGCGCCAAAUUCUCCCGCCAUAAAACUUCACCGAUCGUGCAAAGAAAAACCAGCAGCUUUGGUUUGGUCUCCAACGCGGAGCGGCUAGUGCCGAAGUUUAUGAUUUGCUUCAAAAAAAAUUCUUGCUUUUUUUAAAUAAAAAAAUCUUGCUUUGAUUUUUAGCAAGUCUAACUUUUCUCCUCAACUUAUAUACUUUUAUGCCGACAAGUUUUGCGAGAUUGUUGUCAGGAUGCUUUGGAUGACAAUAUACUAUGAGCUCGUUUCUCAUCACUACCACAAGCCCACUGUUGAACGCUAUUCCACGUCCACUUGGCAAGGACCCCUCAAAGUGGUUAGCAGAUGCUCUAUCUUAUUUUAAGAUCACAAAAUUCAACUUCGUUUUGAGGGGCAAAUUCAGUCCAUGAUGUCAGGCUCAAACUGGCAUCUGCUCUGUUUGCAACAGUCGUCCUCUCCGCUGCAGAGAGAGCUGGCGCGCACUCUAACUGUGCCCUAGGUGUAGCUACCAAUGAAAAACAGAGUACCUUCUUUUACAACCAUGAUGAAGACAGACAGUGAUCCGAGUCAGCGCCUCGAUUUAUAGUACUACCAGAAAUUUCACAUGAAGGAGCAGGAGGGAGGAUCCCCCACGUCUUGAAUAAAAUUUGGGAACUCCCAGAAAAUCCUUGCACAAAACUACCAACCAAGGUUGCUUGCUUCUACUACACCUCCCGCACGGAACCCUCUGAAAAAGCGUGCAAAGACGAACCCACAAACCUUAAACCGAGAUCAAAUUCAGUUGCCGCCGUCUUCAUUGUCCCUUUUCCUCUUGCUUGGCAGGGCAGAUCCUGCAGACUUGUUUCCGUUGGCAACCUCGCUUUUCUCGGCCGCGCCUGAAUCCGGUUCGUCGUCCUCAGCCUCAUCCUCUUCGUCUUCAGCCUAAGAACAGCACAAUUGAAUUAGCUGACAAACAGAUAAACGGCAAAAAUUGGACUAGCUAGGAGACAAGUAUAGAGCAGCGGGCAGCAUGUAGUGUGUACUAGUAUUAUACAAUUAAUUAGGGUGCGCAAGUUAUAUGACCAACAAAUGAGCUUUAGGUUAUUGUUCGUUGGAUGAUUACUGGGUCACCUUAUUGAUGAGGAUGCAGGGAAGCCGAUGAAGAAUUACAGAGAUGGUUCUCUUCUCCAUAAGAAGAUUCUCUAUAAGAACCAUGGUAGAUGCAAGUUCUGAUAAUGAACAGGAGCGACCUACAAGUGUGUAAACCGAGCCCAACGUCACCAUCUUUGAAGAAGAGCAAAUAAGCACAAUGUUGUGUGCUUGUAUUGCCAUCAGAUCCUAAAUUGUAAGUAUAAGCUAAGGUACUAAUAAAACUAUAAAUGUAUUCCUGUGUCCCAUGGCUGUUCUAGUCUAGGCCGUCAUCCAUGAGACUUCUGGGAUGGGAUUCAUGUCCAACUUCAGUUGAGCAUGUGAUUGCUGGGGUGCGAUUUAGGGAGGGGGGAUGAUUGUGCCACGGUGGUGUGGUGAGGGGUGGCGCUGUUUGCUGGGGGCUAUGGAAUACUCAACCGCAUAUAUAUGUUUACAAGGAAAUCCUUCACCAACAUACUGAUGCUUUAUAUCAUGCUACUUUCUUACUACAGCAAUUGGCCAUUCUAUAGGACCGCGGAGGCAGCUAAUCUUCAAGCUGAUCACUGAGUAGUGCAAGAAGGUGGUGUGAAGACCGCGGCGCUGAUUUCAAGUUCUCUGUCUGGCAUUUUUCUUGUAUGUGCUUGUAAUAGGGAGCUUACUUAGUUUUUUUUGUCUUUUGAUCAGUUUGUAAUUGUGUUCAGGGACUGAGAUGCUGAAAACUGUAGUGGUGUUGCUGGGGUGUAGUAAUGCCGUUUUGGUGUUUUCUGUCUUUAAUCUUGUAGCUGGUAUCCCCAGCCCCAGGGGAACACUGUUCGGUUGCUUGAAAAGCAGGGGGUAUGCCUUUUGUCUCAAAAAUAAAACUAAAUGUGGAAGUGGUUUUUUUUAAGACAACAAGAAAGUAAGUCACACAAAACACAAUACAUAACACUGGACAAACAGCAAUUUAACCAAACAUGUAGAAACUGUACAAAUAUCCAGUGAACUAUGAAGUUUGUCCUAAAGCACAAAAGUACAGACAAGGCGAGAAGAGAAAAGCAAAUCCUAGGACCAUACUGCAGAUUGCCCAACAAAAAUGAAUGCAAAAAUAUGGGUCUUACUUUGUAUUAAAUAAGUUUCCAAAUGCACUGGAAAACAAUACAGCCUAGUGGAGCAACAACCUAAUUUGUGGGUUUUGCUUUACAUUAUUAUAAAUCACAAAAGAAGAGGAAAAUAAGACAGAUUUUAGUCAUAUUUGACAACGAUAAUAAUGCAACUAUCCUUUUGGGCUUUUGGCAUUUGGCCACACAUUGUAAAAUAGUCGACAAAUUUAUUGUCACUGUGGAUAUUCAUUUAUAUGUACAUUAUACCAGUACACCACUAUAGAUAUCCAUUCGUAUGUACAUCAUACCAGCAUACCCCUUAACAAAUUUAUUGUCACUUAAGAUACUCAUUUGUACAUCAUAGCAGUACACCAGUAUAGAUAUUCAUUUGUAUGUGCAUCAUACCAGUAUACUACUUAACAAAUUUAUUGUCACUUAAGAUACUCAUUUCUAUGUACAUCAUACCAGUAUACCACUAUACUGAGUUUUCAGGAAAUGAAGAGGCCUACUAAAACAAAGAACUGUUCAAGAUGUUACCCUGAAUACUCAGAUACAACACUAAACAAACUAAAUAAACAAAUAGCUCGACAUACAGUUAACAACACAACAUACCACCAGAAGCGCAAUAUGUAUAAAUGACAAACCAAAUUACGUCUAACUCGAUCACAUGAAGCAAUGAGGUUGCAAGGGCAUCAUGGCUUAACAAUAGGUUAUGUGUUCUCUAAUGACCAUUGUUACCACUAUGAGCAACGAUUAAUUGUUUUAAAGGAAAUCCUGCAGUGCAGUACUAUAACGUUACCGAUACAGCUCAUUAACCGUUUAACUAGUUGUCAGCUAUGCGGAGGUUAUUGAAGGAGUACAUCAUAUGAGGAACAUUUUAUCAAAUGCCAACCAAUACAGAUUUAUAACGAGUACAUGAAUUAGAAGAGAAAUCUCACCUCGUCGCCUUCCUCUUCAUCUUCAUCUCCUUCCUCUUCCUCGCCAUCUUCUUCUUCAUCGCCUUCCUCUUCCUCUCCGUCCUCUUCAUCUCCUUCCCCCUCACCGUCCUCCGCCCCCUCUUCAUCCCCCUCCUCGUCCUCAUCCUCAUCCUCCUCCUCGUCCUCAUCGGACUCCAGGCGGUCAUUGCCCUCGGCAUCGACGCCAUCCAAGUACUUCAAGCUGGGAACCAGCGCAAACACCUUCUCCCGGUACCCCUUGAGCUUGGUGACGGGGCACUGGUACAGGUCCAGCGACUCGACCCCGAGCGGCGCGAGCGGGGCGAGCUCCUCGACCGCGGCGAAGCGGUUGUUGCCGAGGUCGAGGUGGCGGAUGGUCCCGCCGCAGGACUGGGCGACGGCGGCGAGGGAGUCGGCCCCGGCGAGGCGGUUGUCGGGGAGGGAGAGGCGGCGGAGGGCCGGGAGGCGGGGCAGGCCCGCGAGCGAGGAGAGGCGGGCGCCCGCGACGGAGAGCUCCUCGAGCGAGGGGAAGCGGUCGAAGAGGGCCGGCGAGGGGAGGCGGCCGGUGGAGGACUUGACGGCGCCGUCGAGGGUUAGGGUUUUGGGCGCGGAGAAGGGGGAGAGGGGCGCGCUCUUGACGGCCGCGCUGAUGGCGCGCUCCCACGCCGCGUCGUCCUCUCCGGCGCCGGCGCCGGCCAUGGCUGUGGCGGCGGCGGGGCGGGCGGGGACGGUCGUGGGUAGAACCCUAGCUAAACCCUGGAGCCGCAAAGCUUCCGAGGCCGACGGAGCAGACGAGUACGGAAAUUGUGUGGUGUGUGGUGUGGCGAUGUUCGUCCUCCAAGCGUUGGAAAUGGGUUGUGAUGGGCCCUUUUGGUGGGCAAUGGAUGGGCCUGGGCUUAUAGGUUUAGGCGCAGCUUGUGCGAAUUAUUAUUUUUUGUCUACAAUCCCUCAAAAAAAACAUUUGUCUACCAGAGCGUUGAGUGAAGAAAAUAUACUUGCACAUGCAUGUUUCGCACGAUUUGCCUUUUGAAAAAUAAAAACCUCGUGACAAGAAUGUUCAGUAAAACUUUGACAAGGGGAAAUAGUACGAUCCGUCUUUAGGUAUGUGAAGUCUCGCCUUCGACUUUUAGUUAUAUGUGAUUCCUCACAUAGACUUUCCGAGCAUGUUAUCGGGAUGUGUAUACAAAUCAUAGAAUGAAUAUAAAAAAUCUGCUUUUCCGGAGAGAUUUUUGAUUGAAAGGGUAUCUACUAAUCUUCAUCUUUAAUCUGCAUCGAAAUAUAUAAACUUUUCUGGGGGGGUGUAUCGGAGCAAAAAUCGGAUGGAGAUAUACAAGAGAAAAAAAGAGCAUACCUUCUUGAUGUUAUUCCGUGGGCUAUGCAUUGUACUAUGUUCAAUAUGUUCACUAUAAUUGUGACGUGGGGUAGUGUGCCGCGUUGCUAAUUUUAUGACUACUUUUGUCGUGGUUUUGUCACCGCAGAUGUCCUAGAGAAAGGACUUAGUCGUGGAGCCAUCGCUACGGGUUAACUUAAAGGGGGUUAAAGCGGACAAGGGACGCAAAAGAGUUUUAUACUAGUUCGGCCCCUUACGAUGAAGGUAAAAGCCUACAUCUAGUUGUGAUGGAAUUGCUGGGGUUUCGAUGACCAGGGAGCGAAUACGCUUUGCCUGAGUCUUGAGUUGUUGUCUCUUGUCCUUGAACCGCCGCCGGGUCGUCCCCUUAUAUACAUGGGUUGACGCCCGUCGGUUCACAGAAUCCCGAGGCCGGCUCAUAAUCGUGUCCGGCUCGGUCUCUACUACUUCUAUCUUACAACACAAGUUUAAAUAGCAAUGCCGGUUUAUGUCUACAGGCCUUAAACCGGCUUUCGGCCCUGGGCCUUCAUAAAGCGUCACCGUCUGUCUUCAUGGACUUCAGAUACGAAUGAACUACUUAUGGGGUUAACCCGGCCUCUCCUGCCCGGUUUACGCCCAGUGGUAAUAUCCCCAACAUUAGGCCCUAGAUUGAUUUGAACUGGUUCAUGUCAAUCCUCAAUACUUAAGAAAAUUUCUUCUUCAACAUCUUCACAUAAUCUUGUAAACCGCCGUGACAUCAUCUUCUAGGACCAUGGUAAACCGUCGUGACAUCACCUGUUAUUUAAAAUUGUGUAUAAUCCACCUUCAUUAAUGAUCCUCCGACAAUCGAGGCGAUAGCUCCGCCUCAUAUCCAAAAUUUAGGCUCCUCGAUUUUCGCGCCUGACGCUUAUCUNNNNNNNNNNNNNNNNNNNNNNNNNNNNNNNNNNNNNNNNNNNNNNNNNNNNNNNNNNNNNNNNNNNNNNNNNNNNNNNNNNNNNNNNNNNNNNNNNNNNNNNNNNNNNNNNNNNNNNNNNNNNNNNNNNNNNNNNNNNNNNNNNNNNNNNNNNNNNNNNNNNNNNNNNNNNNNNNNNNNNNNNNNNNNNNNNNNNNNNNNNNNNNNNNNNNNNNNNNNNNNNNNNNNNNNNNNNNNNNNNNNNNNNNNNNNNNNNNNNNNNNNNNNNNNNNNNNNNNNNNNNNNNNNNNNNNNNNNNNNNNNNNNNNNNNNNNNNNNNNNNNNNNNNNNNNNNNNNNNNNNNNNNNNNNNNUCCGCAACGGCCGCUGCAUCAACCUGAUCGGACAAGAAAAACGCGGCAAUCCUCCGCUGCUUCCUCAGCACCAGUACGUUCCUCCUUUCUUACUCCAGAUCGACCACUAGGGUUCGUCGUUCUUCGUAGUUCUUCGAAGUUCUUGAAUCUGUUUGUUUCUCUUUAGCAGUACCAAUGGCUAGUUUAGAUCUGCUUUUUCCAAAGCCUUUGUACUUUUAAACUCCUGCUUCCUUGUUAGAACAUCUGCCUUGUAUAAAACUCAUCUCAACUUGGUGAACCUUUAACACGCUGGAAAUUAGGUCAGAAUAUAUUUUGUUUUUCCAACGCGCGAUAGAUCUGAAAUUACCAUGGCAAGAUGUGAAACUUGUUUCUUCCUUCACUUAUACACUUUCAAUACCAGAUUGGGCGGUUUAACUUCAUAUACAAAAUGAUGACCGAGUAGAUACCAUUAGUCCCCUGUUGAACCGCCAAUGCAUUCAUCAUUGUACUGUUUCCAUUGUCAGACUCCGGUUUACGAAUAAGCAAUUCCGGUUUAACAAUAUGCUUACAUCCUUAUACCGCUGUAUAGUUGUCCAUUGUAAAUCUUAAACCGGCAAUAAUCAUGUUUCAGAUCUUUCAUUGCCAUGGCCAAGCAAAUCUAUGAAUGCAAUUGAGCUCCUUCUCAAGUAAUCGAAGAACAGUUAAACAAUCUUGUUAAAACGGGCGCUUUAGCCAAGAAAGAUGUCAUCCACUGGAGGGUCCCUAGCCCGGAAAAUCCUCCUACACCCAAGGACGGAGAGGUAGUCGUGUUUGCUGACCAUCUGAGUCGAGGUUUUAGCCCUCCCGGUUCGAAAUUUUUCCGAGAUGUACUAGCCAAUUUUCAGCUGCGCCCUCAAGACAUCGGUCCCAAUUCUGUGACCAACAUCUGCCACUUCCAAGUCUUCUGCGAGGUUUAUCUGCAAGAGGAACCUACAGUCGAACUGUUUAGGGAUUUCUUUCACUUAAACCGUCUCACAGAGUUCUCGGAUGGACCCAAUACGGAAUUGGGCGGAAUGGCGGUUCAGAAAAGGAAAGAAGUCACCUUCCCUCAUCCCAAACCCCACAGUCACCCCAAAGAGUGGAACCAGACUUGGUUUUAUUGCAUGGAUACAUCUCCACCUGAUGAAAACCCCCUGCCGGGUUACCGCCCUGAACGCCUUAGCAACACACAUCCUUUUCCUCAGAGGUUGACAGCAAAAGAAAGGGCCAAAUAUGCUCCCCAAUUAUCAAAGCUUAGAGCCUUCAUGGCAAACGGUUUGACAGGAGUUGAUCUUGCUCGUUGCUGGAUAAGCUGGAGUAUUCUGCGCUUAAGCCGGCGCUCCGGUUUGAUGUGUGAGUAUACGGGGAGUUUGAAGGAUGCUCAGCGGCACAUUGACAUUCAGCUUACAGAUGCAGAAGUCACUGAGGCUGUAAAUAAAAUGUUGAACGAACCGGAGGCUGUCUGUGCCCAAACCGGACUACUCCCUUUCUGCGCUUUCAACAAACCGCCAGCUGUAAGAAUCAUAUAAUCUUUUUAUCUGAAGUUGAUUUUGUCCAAAUAUUCUCUGAAAGUGUGAUUAUUUUCUGACAGGGUGAUGAUCCAUUCUGGAAUAAGAAACCACCACAAGACAAACCGGUCAAGCCGCAAGAUAAACUGGUCAAGCCAGUUCAUCCAAAGACCAAGGUUAUCAAAAAACCUGCCAAGAAAAGGACCACUGCAUCCUCCGAGCUACCAGCUGAUGACGAUGUGGGUAAUCCGGAAUCAGAGGUAGAACUUGACUCUCUUGGUUCAUUUUUCGUACAUCUCAUUGACAAUGAUUAUUAUCAGGACGACGUUGAAGGCAGUCAUGUUGAUGACGUAGAGGUAACCAUUCUUUCCUCCGAUUCAGAUCCUCUGCCAACAUCAAAAAUCCGUCAAGCAAACCGGAAAGUAAAAUUUUCUCACCCCCUUGCUUACUUGGACCCAAACUUUCUUUUGAAGACGUAGCAGCACGAGGCUCGCCGUACAACACGGCACAGCGGCCAGGUAGUUACCGCCGCCGGUUUACCGAACAGUCCGGUUCGGAAACGCCGAUCAGAGGUCUCUUAUCCCAUUGAUACUUCAUGCCCCAAAGCAGGUUGUUUCCGCCAGCCUCUUAACCCGUCUGAUUCAAAUUAUCAGGGUACUUCUCACUCAUCUUCUGGCGAGUCGUCGGCCACAAAACUUCCACCCCUCAAAACGGUUCUUGGGUGAGCUAUACACUUGUUGUUAUCCUUGAUGUUGCUAUUUUGAUAUACUGCACUCAUCCUCAUGUUUAUUUUUCUCAGCGCCAAGCCCAGACCCAGCAAGAAAGCUCGGUUGAAUAAACCGGCUGAUGAAGGCGUGGCUGUUGAACCGGAGAAAACUCCAGAUCCUGAAGACACCAACAUUGAUGCCAUACUGAAUGACCCACCACCUCAAGAUCAUGACUUCCUUGCUGAGCAGGCAGAAGUUGACACCACAAGCCAUGCUGACCAGCCAACCUGCCCUGUCCUAACUAACAAUAAAAUGGCAAGUCCAGUUAAAAAUACUGACAAACCGCCAACCCUAGUAACGGCUGCUGAUGACAAAGAUGAUGACAUUAUGAUUACUGGCACUGGCCAUACCGCUCCGGGCAAUCCUGUCACUUUGUCAAAGCAUACUGCCAAAGAUGAGCUCUCUGCAAUUGGCAAAGGCAAAUGGAACGCCGAUUUGUCAAAUUAUGCCCAUCUGAAUGCUCAAGACCUUCACUCUGGCUUCCUGAACCGUCUGUACACCAGCCGUGACUAUGAAGCCGGUUUGGUAAAUAUGAUGAAGGAGCGAUAUGAGGUAACUUCAUAAGUGUUUCUCCCUUAUAUUUACUUGCAGCUUAUCAACUCCAGUAGCCCCCAAGUGGCAGUUUAUGAUACCAAUCUAAAACGGGACUUAGUAACAAUCUUUAUAUUUGCAACAUUGCAUCUUUUUUCACUGGUGUAGCCCCCAAGUGACGGUUUAACUUUUAUAAAGAUGAACCGGGACUGUAUAAGAAUUACCAUAUCAGUAGUUGUGAGCAAACACACAUUAGCCCCCAAGUGCUAAGAGUAAUACUUGUAUUGUGCUUGGGACUUGUAGAACUUUAUGAUAGGGAGCAAAUAUGCAUUAGCCCCCAAGUAUCAAGGGCAGAACUUGUUAUGUGCUUGGUACUUUAAAUAUGCACUAUCAACUCAUAAUAUGUUGCUUUCUUACAGGCUGAGCUGAGCAAAAAGGAAUCUCAAACCGCCGAUCUGCAAGAAAUUGUCAAGUCCCAACAGGCCGAAACUUCCAAGGCAAAAGAUGAGCUGACGAGCGCCUUAGCCGUUAUGGAAAAGCUAAAGGAGAGCUUCACCAAGGAGCGGGCGGAUUGGAACACAGAGAAAUCCGCUUUGCGGAAAAGAGCUGAAGACGCAGAAGCAGCUCUCAAACCGGUGGUAGACGAGCUGACUGGUGUAAAGCGGCAAGUACAUGCUAUGACCGCUGCUGUGUUUGGUAAGCAUCCUUGCUUUAUACUUUCAACAUAUCUUCCCAUGUGUUGCUGGUUUACUGACGUUUAUAGUGAUGCAGGAACUCGUAUUAGCCAUCUGGGCUCUGACGUACAGAAGAAAUUGAAAGCGGCCUAUACUCUGAUAGAGCAGCUAUAUACCGGUGCGCAGCGGAUCAUCUCCACCGCUUCACACAAUAAACCUCCUCCAACAUUGAUCAAGGACACCUUAGAAAGGCUAUCCAUGCUGCCUGCCCGGGUUGAAGAACUAAAGAAAGCUGCAGCAAGGGCCGGAGCUCUGACCGCUCUAACCCGGGCAAAGGCGUGGGUGCCUGAUCUUGAUCCGGUGGACGUGGCUAAAGGCUUCCCAAGCUUAAAAGAAGACGGAUCAGAAUUUGGCUAGGAGGAUCUCCGCGCCAUAAACCGGGAAGUACAUCCACUGGCUUGUCAAUUGGCUGAAGAAGCUGAUCUCUCAUACUAUCAGGCAAGUUAUGAUGAUAAGAACAGACGGGUUGCGGCACCAAUUCCAGAAGCGCAAAAUCUUAUCCCAACAAUCCGUCAGCACACUUAUGCUCCUGACAUUGAACCGUCCAUGCUGAUAAGCGAUGAAGCUGUAUUCCAAGCCCUAACUGGGAUCGACUAGGCAACUGUUGAUUUCCAGCCACUGGGUAGAGAGGAGGGAGUUGAACCGGUGCGAGAUGAUCCGCAGCCGUCAGGCCAAGCUGGUGACCAACCAUGAACCGGAGGCCAGUUUAGUCUUCUACAUGCUGCAACAUGUAUUUGAGAAAACAAUUAUCCUUUUGGGCACUGAAACGCCUUGUAAUAUGCUAGUUAAAAUACUUGGUCCGGUAUGCCUUCGUGCAUAUUUAUCUGUGACUGAUGCUUGCUUAAUCCGACAUGCUUAAGAUAUGAUAUUCAUAAUCCAUAACCAUUUAUUCAAGUUGUUCCUGCAGUUAAGAAGCUUAAAGCGCCCUGGCGGUUUACCACCGGGCGGGUCAUGAUACCCAAAUACAUAUAUAUGACCAAGGUUUAUAACCAAGGUUGUAAAGAUAACCAAAUAUGGAAAUAUAUGAUACCUGUGACCUUUAGGCACAAUGUUGGCUGACCAACUUUGUAGUGAGGGUCAUAACCCUAAUUUGGAGUAUAAGUAACUCCUGUUAUAUGAUAUUGGUUGACAAUAAAACCGUUCCGGGUUAUGAUAAACACCGGUUUAUUCUAUACCGGUGACUUUGAGUCAAAACCAGAUCGGGCUGAUAGUCUCCGGAUUAUAACUUGAUCAUGUACUGACAACUUGUAGUUGACAUCCUAACCGGGUUGAUAAACACCGGUUUGAAAACAUCGCAAAUAUUAUCAAAAGAAAGAAAAACUUAGCAAAAGGCAAAUAAAACCGUUGUAGUCGAGGCUUUUCACGGGCUGCCAGGCCCCAAAUUCGAGGCUUUUCAUGGGCUGCCAGGCCACUGAGUUAAACCAUUUUUGCAAAGCCUUUUAAGAUGGUCCUCAAUCCUUAACCAAUCAUCGUUUUAACUUGACAAGUUCAAGGUCUUUAUUUUAGAGUAACUUGUCAAAGUUCAAAGGGUCAUACCAGGUUUACCUGGGCGGAGUGACUUACUUAAAUAGGUAGGUUAACCCGGGGUUUUAGGUGUAUACACCAGGCUUCCAAGCCAUGGCUUGAUAGCUUGUUACAAGUGCAGAUUCUUAGUUCAUUUCGACAGCAAAGAAUCCCCAAGCAACAUUGUGAGUUGUGCUCAGUGGGUGCCUAUGUUUGAGCUGUUGUUUUACAACACUCUCUUUGGCCCCGGAUUGAUGUGGCUUUGAGCCGAUCAAGAGGUGUGACUGUGGUUCGGAUACGACCAAGCCCCCAAGUGAUGUUGUGGCAUUGCGCCGAUCAAGAGGUGUAGCUAUGGUUCGGAUACGACCAAGCCCCCAAGUGAUGCUGUGGCAUUGCGCUGAUCAAGAGGUGUAGCUAUGGUUCGGAUACGACCAAGCCCCCGAGUGAUGUAACAUAAAGCUUUGAGAAGCUGAAUCAAGGGGUAAACCGGACGCCGCUUUAUAAACAGAAGNNNNNNNNNNUGUAGCUAUGGUUCGGAUACGACCAAGCCCCCAAGUGAUGCUGUGGCAUUGCACCGAUCAAGAGGUGUAGCUAUGGUUCGGAUACGACCAAACCCCCAAGUGAUGCUGUGGCAUUGCGCCGAUCAAGAGGUGUAGCUAUGGUUCGGAUACGACCAAGCCCCCAAGUGAUGCUGUGGCAUUGCGCUGAUCAAGAGGUGUAGCUAUGGUUCGGAUACGACCAAGCCCCCGAGUGAUGUAACAUAAAGCUUUGAGAAGCUGAAUCAAGGGGUAAACCGGACGCCGCUUUAUAAACAGAAGCUCCAUGUAACCACACAUGAUGUAAGAAAAACAACAGAUACCCCGCUUUAGCUGAGAUUCCGGUUUAUUAUAUUGAUCAUAAUAUAUACAUUGUCAUAAUAUGUACAUAAGCAGAGCCUAUGGCUCAAGUAUAGUAAGGCCGAAUGAAAGAACAUGCGGUGCCCCCAUGUUUGGUUUUGGUAAUUGAUGACAAUCUCUAUGGACUAAUGGUUGCCUUGAGUUAUAUUUGAAGGAUUUGUCCAUAGGCAGUUCUUGAAGUCCAUGUGUCGGGUUCAAGGAGUUUAUGUGAUGACCAAGGUGUUAUUAAGGAAUUAUCCAAAGAUUGGUCAUGUGAGAGUUGAGCUUAUUGCAAGCAUGUCUUGAAGAAGAAGAUUGUGUGAUCAUUCAUGUUUACCUUCAAGACAUCAUCCAAAUGAAGAGAGUUGGAAAGAGUCAAGGUUGAUCAAGACUAAGUCAAGAGUGAAUCAAGUUGAUCAACACACAAAGCGCACAAGAUGUACCGAGGGAUCAAGCGAUCCCAUGGUAUGGUAAGCAUUGUCAAUUACGCUUUGUGUACUAACCCAUGGUCUUCGUGAGAGUUCUUUGUGGGGUUAGGUUGCGGUGUGCAAGUUCAAGUGAAGCGGGCAAGUUCAAGUAAAUCAUCACGAAGAGAUCAAAUGCUUGAAGCUUGCCAUCCACUGUGGUGACAAUGGACUUGUGAAGAUGUGCGGAAGGGUGGCUCACCCAUAGUGGAGUAUGGGGGAGCAAUCAACUAGUCUUCAUCGAGCCAGCGCAAUCAAGAAAGGUGGUCCAUCUUGAGGGAGUCAAGAUCGUCAUCAUCUAGCUCAAGUGGACCAUGUGCAAGGCAAAGGUUUGCUUUUGAUAGGUUUUCUAUUUUACCGGUCUCAUGAUGGUAGUUGGGAGACCGGGUUAUAGGAUCGAUUGCCGUACUAUCAAGGGGGGCUCUCGAUGAGUAGCUUGAUCGUAUCGUUCAUAGAGAGCUCAAACCAUUGCAUCCUUGCAUCAUCUUUAUUGGUUCCUAUUUGGUUCUUCUCUUUGUAAGUUUUGGAGCUUAUGGUCAUCUUGAUGACAAGCUCGAGUUCAUCGAAAACGGAGUUCACUCACAUCUUCUAUGAUGUUUUCGAUGUUGGAGGUUAUGCCGGUUCUUCUCGGUUGGAGGUUUCACUCCUCUAUUUGUUGGCAUACCUCCCUGUUUUGAUGCUACUCGUCUUCCUCUAUCCAACAAGCUUGAGUUUGCUCAAUUCGGAGCUCAUUUGCAGAAGUUAUGGCAGUUCUGGUCUUCCUUGGAGUAUACUUGUUUUCGUGGAAGUAGCUUUAGGAUGGCGCCAGCGGUAGUACCGCGGUACCCAGCGGUAGUACCGCUUAGGAGUCACAGGCGGCAGUACCGCUCCGCAGCGGUAGUACCGUCGGUGGGUCCUCAACAGUAGUACCGAUGCGGUACCAGGCCCCUACCGCGUAGACUCGAGGGGUCAUUUUUCGUGUCGGAUUGUGCGGUACUUCGCAGCGGCAGUAGAGCUCAUGAGCGGUGGUACCGCCCUUCCACCGUGGCAGUACCGCUCGAGUCCGUAUCUCUCCUGCCCUCCUAACUCCACGGUAGUACCGCCCGGGGAAGCGGUAGUACCGCUGUUCUCAGCGGUAGUACCGCUGCCUUAUGCGGUAGUACCGCCCUCUGCGGGGCUGUUUUGGGGGUAACGGUUGGAUUGUUCCCCCCACUAUAUAAGGGGGUCUUCUUCCCCAUUGAACCUUAUCCUUUGAGCUCGUGUUCUUCCCCCAUUGUUGACCUUCUUCGAGCUUGCUAACUCUCAAUCCCUCCAUGGAUUCUUGCUAGUUUUUGAGAGAAAAGAGAGAGGAGAUCUAGAUCCACAUUUCCACCAAUCACUUUCUCCUCUAUGUGAGGGGAACCCCUUGGAUCUAGAUCUUGGAGUUCUUGGUGUUCUCCUUCUUGUUCUUCCUCUCAUUUUCCUCCCUAGCAUUAGUUGCUUCGGUGGGAUUUUUGAGAGAGAAGGACUUGGGCACUCCGUGUGCCCUUGCCAUUGCAUUUGGUGCAUCGGUUUGAGUUCUCCACGGUGAUACGUGGAAGUUACAAGUUGAGAAGCUUAUUACUCUUGGGUGCUUGGUACCCUUGAGCUUGUUCCUCUUGGGUGCUUGGGCGCCCUAGACGGUUGGUGGUGUUCGGAGCUCAAUCAUUGUGGUGUAAAGCUCCGGGCAAGCGUCGGGGUCUCCAAUUAGGUUGUGGAGAUCGCCCCGAGCAAUUUGACGGGUUCCGGUGACCGCCCCCAAGGGUUGCCAAAGUGUACGGGUUCGGUGACCGCCCCCAAGGGUUGCCAUUUGUACGGGUUCAGUGACCGCCCUCAGGGGUCCCUUAGUGGAAUCACGGCAUCUUGCAUUGUGCGAGGGCAUGAGGAGAUUACGGUGGCCCUAGUGGCUUCUUGGGGAGCAUUGUGCCUCCACACCGCUCCAAACGGAGAUUAGCAUCCGCUAGGGUGUGAACUUCGGGAUACAUCGUCGUCUCCGCGUGCCUCGGUUAUCUCUUACCCGAGCCCUUUACUUAUGCACUUUACUUUCUGAUAGCCAUAUUGUUUCUUGUCAUAUAUCUUGCUAUCACUUAGUUGUUUACCUUGCUUAGCAUAAGUUGUUGGUGCACAUAGGUGAGCCUAGUUGUUUUAGGUUUUGUGCUUGUCAAAUUAAUCGUUAGGUUUAUUCCGCAUUUGUUCAAGCCUCAACCGUAAUUAUUUUAAAGCGCCUAUUCACCCCCCUCUAGGCGACAUCAACGAUCUUUCAUCGAAGAUGAGCAAUAUUCCACGGCCGGUUGGUCUCCUCCUUCGACUUACGUGAGUCUUUGCGCUCUCGAACAUCGAUUAUGUAGUAUGACCCGUUGUGUAGAUUCUUGCUGACCACAAAGGGUCCUUCCCAAGGGGGGGAUAGUUUGUGCAUGUCCGUUUGAUCCUGGAUGAGUCGAAGCACCAAAUCGCCUUCUUGAAAGGUUCUGGUUCUAACCCGGCGGCUAUGAUAACGACGCAGAUCUUGCUGAUAAAUCGCCGAACGAGCUGCCGCCAUGUCACGCUCCUCAUCUAACAGGUCAAGAGAUUCCUGCCGUGCCUUCUCGUUGUCAGCUUCAACAUAUGCCGCUACACGAGGUGAGUCAUGACGGAUGUCACUAGGAAGAACCGCUUCCACUCCAUAAACCAUGAAGAACGGUGUGUAUCCUGUCGAUCUGUUGGGUGUGGUAUUGAUGCUCCAUAACACAGAAGGUAACUCCUCAACCCAACAACCCGGCGUCCGUUGCAAAGGAACCAUAAGCCGCGGUUUGAUGCCUCUCAAGAUCUCUUGAUUGUCCCUCUCCGCUUGACCAUUAGACUGUGGGUGAGCCACUGAUGACACGUCAAGCCGGAUGUGCUCACGUUGACAGAACUCCUUCAUGGCACCUUUUGACAGAUUGGUACCAUUGUCUGUUAUAAUGCUGUGUGGAAAGCCGAACGGGAAGAUCACCUUUUUGAUGAAUUGAACCGCCGUGGCUGCGUCACACUUACUAACUGGCUCUGCCUCCACCCACUUCGUGAACUUAUCAACCGCCACCAAAAGGUGGGUCUUCUUGUCCUUGGACCUCUUGAAAGGCCCAACCAUAUCCAGCCCCCGAGUUGCAAACGGCCAGGUGAUUGGAAUCAUCCUCAAUUCUUGAGCCGGUACAUGAGCGCGCCUUGAGAAUUUCUGACAGCCAUCACAUCUUUUGACCAAGUCCUCGGCAUCAGCAUGAGCUGUCAACCAAUAGAAACCGUGACGAAACACCUUGGCCACCAAAGAUUUUGAACCGGCGUGGUGACCACAAUCUCCUUCGUGGAUCUCACGCAAAAUUUCACGGCCUUCCUCAGGAGACACACAGCGUUGAAACGCCCCUGUCACACUGCAAUGAUGUAACUCUCCAUUGAUAAUAGUCAUGGACUUGGACCGCCGGAUUAUUUUCCUGGCCAAAGUUUCAUCCUCUGGUAACUCGCCCCGGUUCAUAUACGCCAGAUAUGGAACCGUCCAAUCCGGGAUAACAUGAAGAGCCGCCACCAACUGAGCCUCUGGAUCAGGAACUGCCAAAUCCUCUUCACCAGGGAGCUUGACGGGCGGAUUAUGCAAAACAUCCAGGAAGACAUUAGGUGGAACCGGUUUAUGUUGGGAACCCAGGCGGCUUAAAGAGUCCGCCGCUUCAUUCUUCCGCCGGUCCACAUGAUCCACCUGAUAACCUUUAAAGUGACCUGCAACAAUAUCCACCUCAUGACGAUAUGCUGCCAUUAGUGGGUCCUUGGAAUCCCAAGUGCCGGACACUUGUUGAGCCACCAGAUCCGAGUCACCGAAGCACUUAACUCGGCUUAGGUUCAUCUCCUUAGCCAUCCGAAGACCAUGGAGUAAAGCCUCAUAUUCAGCUGCAUUGUUAGUGCAAGGGAACAUUAAACGGAGAACAUAACAAAACUUAUCACCUCGUGGGGAAGUUAAUAUGACUCCAGCCCCCGAGCCCUCCGAUUGCCUGGACCCAUCAAAAUGAAUAGUCCAAUAAGUAUGAUCCAGCUUCUCCUCUGGCGCUUGUAAUUCUGUCCAAUCAUUGAUGAAAUCCACAAGUGCCUGAGAUUUGAUCGCCGUUCUGGGUAUGUAUUUCAACCCGUGAGGUCCGAGCUCUAUAGCCCACUUAGCAAUCCGGCCAGUUGCUUCUCUGUUCUGGAUUAUAUCUCCCAACGGAGCAGAGCUGACCACCAUGAUGGGAUGACCUUGGAAAUACUGCUUAAGCUUCCGGCUUGCCAUAAAAACCCCAUACACCAAUUUUUGCCAAUGCGGGUACCUCUGCUUGGACUCAAUAAGUACCUCACUGAUAUAGUAGACCGGCCGUUGAACCGGAUAUUCCUUUCCGGCCUCCUUGCGCUCCACCACAAUAGCCACACUAACAGCCCGGGCGUUAGCUGCCACAUAUAGCAACAAUGACUCUUUGUCAACCGGAGCAGCGAGAACCGGCGGAUUAGCCAGCUGCCGCUAUAAGUCCUCAAAUGCUUCAUUAGCGGCGUCACUCCAGACGAAGUCAUCCGUUUUCUUCAGCAUCUGAUACAAAGGGAUGGCCUUCUCGCCAAGGCGACUGAUAAACCGGCUCAACGCGGCAAUCCGGCCUGCCAGGCGUUGAACAUCAUUGAUACACUUCGGUUUGGCCAAGGAGGUGAUGGCCUUGAUCUUUUCCGGAUUAGCUUCAAUACCCCGGUUAGACACCAAAAAACCCAAGAGCUUGCCUGCAGGUACACCAAAGACGCACUUGGCCGGAUUAAGCAUCAUUUUGUAAACCCGCAGGUUAUCGAAGGUUUCCUUCAAGUCAUCAAUCAAUGUCUCCUUCUUCCUUGAUUUCACCACAAUAUCAUCCACAUAGGCGUGAACAUUGCGGCCGAUCUGUUUAUGAAGACAAUUCUGCACACACCGUUGAUAAGUCGCCUGGGCACUCCUGAGCCCAAAGGGCAUGGACACAUAGUAGAAGGCUCCAAAAGGAGUUAUGAAGGCUGUCUUCUCCUGGUCCUUAACUGCCAUUUUGAUCUGAUGAUAACCAGAAUAUGCAUCCAAAAAGCUCAAACUCUCGCAACCCGCCGUAGCAUCAAUAAUUUGAUCAAUACGAGGGAGGGCAAAAGGAUCUGCUGGACAAGCUUUGUUAAGGUCUGUGUAGUCCACACACAUACGCCAAGUGCCGUUCUUUUUAAGGACCAGCACCGGAUUAGCCAACCACUCAGGAUGAAAUACUUCAACGAUAAAUCCAGCCGCCAAGAGCCUGGCUACUUCUUCUCCAAUAGCUUUGCGUCUUUCUUCAUUGAACCGACGGAGAAACUGCUUGACCGGUUUAUAUUUGGGAUCAACAUUGAGAGUGUGCUCAGCGAGUUCUCUCGGUACACCUCGCAUGUCAGAAGGCUUCCAUGCAAAGAUGUCCCGAUUCUCACGGAUGAACUCGAUGAGCGCGCUUUCCUAUUUUGGAUCCAAGUUAGCACUGAUGCUAAACUGCUUGGACGAAUCGCCAGGCACGAAAUCAACAAGCUUAGUCUCAUCAGCCGAUUUAAACUUCAGGGCCAGAUCAUGCUCUGUAGUUGGUUUCUUCAACGAAGUCACAUCUGCCGGAUCAACAUUGUCCUUGUAAAACUUCAACUCUUCUGUUGCACAAACCGACUCAGCAUAAGCCGCAUCACCUUCUUCACACUCCAGAGCAAUCUUGCGGCUCCCAUGCACGGUUAUAGUUCCCUUGUGACCCGGCAUCUUGAGCUGCAGAUAGACAUAACAAGGCCGUGCCAUAAACUUAGCAUAAGCUGGCCGUCCAAAUAAGGCAUGAUACGGGCUUCUGAUUUUCAUCACUUCAAUGGUCAAGAUUUCUGAUCUCGAGUCAUGCUCAUCUCCAAAAGCCACCUCCAGAGCUAUCUUACCAACAAGAUAUGCCGACUUACCAGGCACCACACCAUGGAACACCGUAUUGGACGGUUUAAGAUUUUUAUCUGUUAACCCCAUGCGACGGAAAGUUUCAUAAUAAAGGAUAUUGAUACUACUCCCUCCAUCCAUGAGUACCUUAGUGAACUUAUAACCUCCCACCCGAGGUGCCACCACCAGAGCCAGAUGACCCGGAUUGUCAACCCGGGGUGGAUGAUCUUCUCUACUCCACACAAUCGGCUGCUCGGACCAGCGCAAAUAACGGGGCACCGCCGGUUCAACGGCAUUCACCGCCCUUUUAUGAAGCUUCUGAUCGCGCUUGUCCAAGCUAGUGGUGAAGACAUGAUACUAUCCGCAAUUCAACUGCUUCGGGUUGCUCUGGUAGCCCGACUGCUGCUAUUGCUGCUGAUUGCCCUGAUGAUUAUAGCUACCUUGGUUACCCUGAUUACUUUGAUUGUUAUGUCCACCCUGAUUGCCGUGGAAGCCUGAACAUGAAUUUCCUCCACCAUAACCCGGCUCAUGAGACCCGGGGCCCGAACCGCCUCCUGGUCCAUGAUCAUACCGGAAAGAAUCAGAAUUUUUGAACUCUUGCAUGAUGUAACAAUCUUUCCAGAGGUGCGUGGACGGGAUCUCCUUCGUCCCAUGCUUUGGACAGGGCUGGUUCAACAGAUAAGACAAACGGUCCGGAUUAGGACUUGGCCCUCCACCGCGCUGGGGCGGUUUACCCUUGCGCCGCUGGCCCUUGUCAUGUGUAUUAGUAUUAGCCACAAAGUCUAAACCGUGGUCCGCCUUACGCUUGCCGCCAUUUCCAUGACCCGCCGGGUUGUGGUGCUGCCCCUUGGCGUUGCCGCUUUUUUUUCCCUUCCCUGUCUUAUCAUCGCCAGACUCGGGAUCCUUGGUACUAUCAGAGUCGGCAUACUUCACCAGUGCAGCCAUGAGGGUUCCCAUGUCAUUACAAUGACGUUUGAGCCGUCCCAACUUCAACUUCAGGGGUUCAAACCGGCAAUUGCCUUCCAAUGUUAAAACUGCGGUGUCUGCGUUGAUGCGGUUCGAUGAAUGCAAAAUCUCCGAAACCCGGCGCACCCAAUGGGUUGUUGACUCUCCUUCCUCUUGGACACAGGCAGCUAAAUACACAAUUGACAUGGGCUGCUUGCAUGUAUCCUUGAAAUUCUGAAUAAACCGGGCUCUCAACUCGGCCCAUGACCUGAUAGAAUUAGCCGGUAAGCUCUUUAGCCAAGUGCGGACCGUCCCUUCUAGCAUCAUGGUGAAGUAUUUCGCACAUGCCACAUCAUCCACAUCCAGCAUCUCCAUGGUCAUCUCAUAGCUUUCGACCCAUGUUUCAGGGGAUAAAUCGGCGGUGUAAUUCGGCACCUUGCGCGGGCCCUUGAAAUCCUUGGGCAGGCGCACAUUGCGCAACGCCGGGACGAGACACGGUACUCCCAAAGAACUAGAGGUAACUCCUGGUUCCACCGAUGUGGUUGGACGAACCGGAGUAAGCUGACGGGCUUCAUGUUGCGCCGCUAACUCGGCCUCUCUGCGUGCCCGAGCCCGGUCCACCACCUCCUAAGCAUCACCAGCACCACCCGCCGGGUUAUUGCCACGGGGCGGAUCACGGUUCCGCGCAUUGCUUGACACUGUCGGUUCAUCCAUACGCCUGCUGUAACUCCGGCUUGGACGGGGAGUGGAAUGAAUCCGAUCGCGACUAUAUGAAUAAGCCUCCUGUUGAACCAAGGCUGUCUAAAGAAGCUCCUUAACCCGACGCGUCUCGACUGCCGCCGGAGAAUCGCCUUCGAUCGGGAUGGCCGCCAGCCGUGAAGCGGCAGCGACAAUGUUGUCCAUCGGGUUAGAGUAAUGACCCGGUGGCGUGGGGACAUGCGGUGUUACAAUGUUGUUCUGACGAGGCGGAUCCACCAAACGUGGCUGAACCGGCGCCCCUACUCCAGGUGCCUCCGCCCGGUUUACCACCGGCGGAUUACUGGUCCCUGCUCCUGGGGUGUUAAAGAGAUUUCUAGAGUUAUAAACCGGCGGCAGGCAAGAUCGGUACCUCCUCUUCAGGACUUCUUUCGACGCACUCUGAUCCAGCAUAAUCCGGUAAGCUUGUGCAUCCAAAGCGGCCCGCUCCGCGGCCAUCCUGGUAUCCUCAGCUGCUAAGUCGGCUUUGGCCUGGGUGAUCUGAUCUUUCACUUUCGCGAUUUCCGCAUUGUGUGCAUCCUGAUCCGCCGGGUUAACCUCCGCCAUCAGCGUUGCCAACGCGUUAAACAAAUCAGAUAGAACCUGAGCUGGCGGUCGCACAGGGCCUCCUGCCCCGGCCGCUGUUGCCGCUGUCGAUCCGAAAAUCAUCGCCGCUGCGGUCGAAGAGUGGAGCGCCGGUUGCGUACCGGCCAUGAAGAUCGCAACCCGGUUUGGCAGAUCAAAGAGGUCCGGAAUAGUGUCGCCAUCGGAACAGCCCCCAAUCCGGCCAUCCUGUAACUGAUAUAACGACUCGGUCUCUCCGGUCGAUGACUCGUCGCCGGAAUAAACGACGGUCUCACCACCAGAUUCCGAUCUAUCCUCAGAUUCCCCUCCAUGGAUAACUCCCACGAAGGCACGCUUCAUGACAGGCUUGACCCGGGCAGAUCUCGCACGCUGAGCCGUUUCGACGAGGUCGGUGCAGAUGUCCGGCUCAAAGCCCGGUUCGCCGAUCUUGCCAAUGAAAACGUGUAUGCCAUCAAAGGGGACCCGGUACCCGUAGUCGAUUGAGCCGGCCUCGGGGCCCCAGCCUGCAUCGUCGAUGUAGAGCUUGCCGCGACGACUCUUGGUCAUCCGGCCCACAGCGUAACCCUUGAGUCCUUUGAAGUUGCCCUCCAAGAACUUGAAACCAUCGUGCGAUGGCCCCACGGUGGGCGCCAACUGUCGUGGUUUUGUCACGGCAGAUGUCCUACAGAAAGGACUUAGUCGUGGAGCCAUCGCUACGGGUUAACUUAAAGGGGUUAAAGCGGACAAGGUACGCAAGAGAGUUUUAUACUAGUUCGGCCCCUUACGAUGAAGGUAAAAGCCCACGUCUAGUUGUGAUGGAAUUGUUGGGGUUUCGAUGACCAGGGAGCGAAUACGCUUUGCCUGAGUCUCGAGUUGUUGUCUCUUGUCCUUGAACCGCCGCCGGGUCGUCCCCUUAUAUACAUGGGUUGAUGCCCGUCGGUUUACAGAAUCCCGAGGCCGGCUCAUAAUCGUGUCCGGCUCGGUCUCUACUACUUCUAUCUUACAACACAAGUUUACAUAUCAAUGCCAGUUUAUGUCUACAGGCCUUAAACCGGCUUUGGGCCCUGGGCCUUCAUAAAGCAUCACCGUCUGUCUUCAUGGACUUCAGAUACGAAUGAACUACUUAUGGGGUUAACCCGGCCUCUCCUGACGGGUUUACGCCCAGUGAUAAUAUCCCCAACAACUUUCAUGCACUUAAGUAGAUAUUUCAAACUAGUGUUUACCUUCGAAUCAUUUAUAGGUUUGUACAGGACUUUCCGUCGCUGCAAGAUCCCAUGAUCAUUUGGUGUUUCAGUAGGCAUGUAUACCCCAAGUCAUGGUCUUCUUAACACCUUUCGCGUGUGAGUAGUUCAAUCACACUAAUAAUUUUCCCGGAGAAGCCCGGAUUGUAGGUCAGGGUAGUUUAUUUGGGGAAAAACGUAUUCUAUGCUUAGAUAGUAUUUGGUUCUCUCUAAGUAUUUCAUAUUGGUCUCAAGUUACACUUCAUGAGUUCACUUACUCUAUUACUUAUUUUAUCCUGGUAAUAUGCAAGUCAUUUGCAUUCAUGUUGUCGAUGCACGAAAUUUUCAAACCAUGUAUACGGCGGGGAAAACGUUUAUUAUAAGCCGGCUGAUUUCUCGCGUCGUAAGUCUCCUCCGUUGUGCGACACGUGUUCCCGUGGGGCCAGCCCACCGCUCUUUCUCCAGCCUUAUCCCCAUCGAUUCACCCGGACUGCAUCUUUCUCCUCCUUCUAGCUAACUCCAGUCGCCGCCGUCCUCUCCUCUCCAAUGCCAAAUCUCGCGGCUGCACACCAGAUUUCGCGAGCACGCCACUCCCGGCUGCUCUGAUCCAGCCGUCGGAGCACCGCGAAUCCUUGCAGCAGCCACCGGCUUGCUGCGCUCGCGGCGGUGCUGCCGCCGCCGGCGCUGCAUAUGAGGAUGGCGGCGCUGCAAUGGACGGGCGCUAUUGUCGGCGGCAUGACAAGUCGAGCAUGGCGGCGCUGCUGCCACCGACGCUGCAAUGGAGGGGGCGCUGUGUCGAGGACGGCGACGCUGCAACGGCGCUGCAUACGAGGAUGGCGGCGCUGCUGCCGGCGGCGCGACAAGUCGAUGACGGCGGCGCUGCAAUGGAGCGGGCGUUCCUGCCGCCGGCGCUGCAAACGAGGACUGCGGCGCUGCUGCCGCGGGCGUUGCAUACGAGGACGGCAGCGCCGCGGUGAAGCGCCGCGGCGGUCGUCGGAGCUCCGGCGAGGUUGCAACGAAGCACCGUCGAAAGCUGCAGUGAAGCGCCGCGGCGGUCGUCGGAGCUCCGGCGAGGUUGCAAUGAAGACGUGGAAGCUGCAGUGAAGCUCUGCGGCGGUCGUCGGGGUGCUGCGGUAGAGCACCACCAUUCCAGUGGCGGUGCUGCAAUGAAGCUCCGUCGAGAGCCGUCCAGUGCUACAAUGAGCUUCGCCGGGGGCCACCACUGCUGCAAUGGAGCUUCGCCGGUGGCCGCCGGAGUUGCACUGAAGCAUCACCGGAGCGGCUGUGUUUCAAUGGAGCAUCUCCGGCGGCGUCCGGUGCUGCGAUGGAGCGCCGCCGCACCGAUGUUAUCGCCGCAGUGAAGCGUCGCCGGCAGCUACCUGGGCUCCGAUGCAGUGCUGCGGUUGUGCGAUGUGAGGAAGAGAUUGUGUUGGCGUUGACCAUUCAAACCAGCUGAGAGGAGAGAUCCAACGGUGUGGCGGGACUAAUCAAACGGCCAGCAAGGCGGCUUAAAUCUUCCUGGCAUCAGCCGGUUGACGCCUAGCAGCCGCCAUGCGGCGGCAUACGUAGUAAAAAACGUGGAAGUGAGAGCGAUACAAGGACAACAAAGCUAAAACCCUAGCGGCUAGAGCUCUUGAAUCGGUAUGUGACUUCAUGCGUAGUUGGUGAUGUAGAAGAUGUUGAGUAUUUCUCCUAGGCCCAUGGGUCCUUAUAUAUGCAUCUUGUCCUAGCCUCCAAGUGGAGCAGAAACCGAACCAGACUCGAACUCCUCCAUUAAUAAGAAAAGUACCAUCUCCUCUUCGCAUCGUCUUCCAAAUCGGCUAUUGUUUCCUUAUCCGCAUGCCACGAGAUGGAAAGUUUUGGUGCAUCUUUGGUCUUAUGUACACAAAUGUCUUCGUUUAGUCUCCAUAUGAUGUGGACAAUAAAUUUAGAAUAAAAAUCAGAUGCACAAAGAGUAGAGAGAUGAAAGAGAAAGGAAUACAAGGAAUUUGUUAUAGCAUCAUUACUUAAACAAAACCCCCCAAACUACAAAAGUCUUUUUUUUAUCCCGAGCACACACAUGGUCCCCCGUGAAGAGUAAAAUUGAAAAAAAAUAGUAAAAAUUUCAAAAUAUUGUGAUUUUUUAAUGAUAAAUAUUGACGAAUGUUUCAACUGCGUGCAAAAAAUUGUGAGGAAAUGACAUUUGUGGAGGCCUGUGCAAAUUUUUAUGUUUGAUAUUCCAAACAACUUCCAACAAUAAUCUUUAUGGAGCAUCGUUUUUGUUUUGCACAGACCUCCAUGAUUUUAUUUAAUCACGAAUUUUUACACGCAAGGGUGAAGAAUUCAUCAAUGUUUAUCACAAAAAAAAACAGAUUGUUUAGUAUUUUUACUGUUCAUCAUGGGGCAUGUGAGGUCGAGAUAAAAAACUCAAUAUCCCAAAAUUACAAAAGGUUUUUUUAUAGUAACCAUUAUAUGAGGAAUGGAUUUUUCAGGAAUUUCAUCUGAGUUGCCUUUUUUAUUUUCUUUUUCUUUUUUGCGGGUGGCCCUGAUUUUUUUUAGACAGUGAGUUGCCCUGAUAAUAAGAAGGUUUUUUUUAGGAGCCCCGAUAAAAAGAGGUUGAAAACAGUAAGCAAGCUUCCCUAAAAAACAGUAAGCAAGCUAGAAAGAGAGGACCGUAUCAGAUCCUCCAGCCCUUGCGACGUGGAAACAAUAUGCAUCUUUCAAAUGACAGAAUGCAAGAUAGAGCGAGUCAGCUCAGAUCCAAUCGGGCGCCACACGUCUGACCAGGAUCACAUGUCUAGUGAAGAUUCCUGCAACAACAAAAAAAAAGAUUACAGUGAAGAUUGACGAGAAGGCCAAAGGAAGCACAUGUAGGAGUGGGACGUGAGGCGUGAGAUGACCGGCAUCCACGUCGUCCAUGCAAUGAUCCAUCCAUCCAUGCAUAGGGCGAUCGAGAAAGUGUGCCGAGGCUAGCUAGAAAGCUGUCCAUGUAGGGCGUGCGCUGUCGAAGCCACUGAGACCGUUCACCGUCGUGUAUCGAUCGAUCGCGGCCGGAGGUCAGAGCUUUGCGUACGGCACCAGAGCGACAGCACGUAGGUGAACAAGGAUGGGCCGACUAGCGGCCGGCGUUGUGCACCCGUACUGUUGUUGUGCCCCACGAACGACGACUCUCGGAUGCCAUGGCAUGCAUGCAUGUGGCAGAGCGAGGCCGGCGCACGCGCGCAGCGCACAGGGUGGUGACUGCGUCGGCACGCACGCACUCGGCUCUCUCGUGUCGAUGUCGGAGUCGGCAUGCACGAGCACGACGGCUCCAUCGUUCGGUGGUUCCGUCGACCGGCGGGCCGCAGUGCACCACUGAUCGAUCGAUCAGCAGGGUACCACUACCACUACCACGCACGGUCGCUUCCGGUCGAUAUCGAUCGGUCUCACUCAUCACGGAUGCGUGCGUGAGAGGGACGAAUGGUCCUGCUAGCGACCCCGGACGAGACGAGACAAGACGCCGUCCGGUCCAAAGUCUGCAAUCAAGUUACUCCUAGGUCCUAGCGGCCUGCCCUAAUUAAUUUCUCGUCAGGCAGAAGCUAUAGCUAGCUAGGUGUAGCGACGAGUCAGCUGCAGCUGCAGCAGCGGACAAACGCACACGCACACAUCCAUCGGUCACCAGUUCCCAAACCCACCCGGCACCGGCCGUGCAUCGUGGACCGGGCGAGCGCUGCGUGCCAACGGCCGUACGUGUCGCCGUGCGUGCGUGCGCCCGUCCGUCCGUGCACGUGAACAGGGCGCCAUGUCCAUGUGACGCCGUCCGUCCGUACCCGGUUGGCUAGCUAGCUAGCUCUAUCGAGAGCACGUACGUACCGGCCGGAUCAUGGUGGCCGCAAGCACCGCGGCGGCAUGGAAAACGCAUGCUCAAGUUAAGGGUACGGCUGGGCAGAUCAGAUGGAGUGUAUGGGUGAGAGGUUGGGGGUUGGACGGUGCAUGCACGCGCGCGCGCGCCGAUACGGAUGCAUGCAUGGUCUCUCGCGUGCGGGCGGCAUGGGAAGGGAGUAGAGAUGCCACACGGGGCACGCCCGGAGCGCGCGCGCGCGCACGGCCCGCGGUGCCUCCGACUAUGUGCUACGUGUGUGUGCGCGCACACAACUGGCGUGCUGGUCGGCUGUACCAGGCCCAUGCAAAGCGCAUGCACCGACGGCGGGGAUGGCCCGCGGACUCGCGCUGCCUGUGACCAACCAACCGGCCGGUGGCGUCGGUGGGUGGCUGCUGCUACACUGUCAGUCACUGUGUGUGUGAGUGGUGGAAGAAUCUGAGCCUGAUGGAUGGCGUUGGCGUUGUCUGCGGCGAUCGAGCGGGGAGCAGGGCGUCAGUCUGUACAGUGCAGUCAUGCGGAUGCAGGCAGGAAGUCCCUCUCUGCUCCUGCUUCACCAAGCAAAUGUAGUGGAGGGGCAUCGAUCGUGUGUACGUUGGCGCCCACGAACGCCUGCUUCCUCGUCGUGGACUCCAUCUCAUGCCGUGUACAGUACUAUGUGUGUCGGCAUGUGAGGCUCUCUCUCUCUCUCUCCGUCCCGGUUCUAGUUAUCCUAGCUAGCUUAGCUAGCUCGUACUAAGCCGUACCAGAUGAUUCUUGUUUAAUUUGCGGUCUUAUCUGCACUAGCUAGAUGCUCGAUCCACACCACCCAACCAAGAGAAAAUCUCAACGAAAGCUUCCGGCGAGAAUAUCUACGUUCGAACUUGGCAAUUCCGGACCCUCAAACGCCCGUGGACGCGUCCGGCACUGACCGAGCGCCCCUCAUAUUUGCCAUUCUGCAUCCGCGUAUCUUAUAUCCGGCGCCUUAUAUUCAUACUACCAUGCACGCGUUGAUCUAUCCUACGUGAUCAAACGACGGACAAUAAAAUUGAGCUAUAAAGGAACACAAGAUCGGCUGCAAACGGAUAUAACAUACUUCACCACACCCACCACAUCCAAAAGAUCAUAGUUCGUCCACAGACAAGUUCAUAAAACUUCUACAACUAAAAACGAUAUAAACAUUGANNNNNNNNNNNNNNNNNNNNNNNNNNNNNNNNNNNNNNNNNNNNNNNNNNNNNNNNNNNNNNNNNNNNNNNNNNNNNNNNNNNNNNNNNNNNNNNNNNNNNNNNNNNNNNNNNNNNNNNNNNNNNNNNNNNNNNNNNNNNNNNNNNNNNNNNNNNNNNNNNNNNNNNNNNNNNNNNNNNNNNNNNNNNNNNNNNNNNNNNNNNNNNNNNNNNNNNNNNNNNNNNNNNNNNNNNNNNNNNNNNNNNNNNNNNNNNNNNNNNNNNNNNNNNNNNNNNNNNNNNNNNNNNNNNNNNNNNNNNNNNNNNNNNNNNNNNNNNNNNNNNNNNNNNNNNNNNNNNNNNNNNNNNNNNNNNNNNNNGUCACCGUCGGAGUCGGUGUCGGAGAGGACGAUGAGCCCCUUCAUCCGAGGGAUCACCCUGUCCUGCUCACGCUUCAGCCUUGCCACCCGAGCAUUCUCCGCCACUGCCUCCUUCACCUUGUACUUCGACAGCUCAAUAGCUAGCCGGAGCGCCUUGGCGUUCUUCCGUCGGAGGCGGCGAGCGCCCGCCUCCGUCGUCAUGAGGGAGCAACGGUACACCCAGGCGAGGAGACGUGCAUCCUCGUCGGCGUUCGGCUCCGUCCCGCGGCGGCGGCGCACGGACUGCUCCGCCACCUCCCUCUCCCGUGCACGCUGCCUCUCGCGGCGGUGCGGCGCGCGCCUCCGACUCCGGAGUGCACGUGCGGGCUGGAGGCGCGGAUACAAGCACCCAGCGCUGGUCGCAUGCAGGAGCUGCCGGCGGGGGAAGGAGACGACGUGGGGCCGGCGCGGACUGUGCUGACCGGGCGUCGCUACGCGUGGGCCGAGAGGGUCCAGCUCCGGCGUCCGCGAUGCGCUGGCGCGGGAGGUGUUGCGACGCUCCAGUCCCGUUGGUUAAAUUUAUGGUCAAAGUUGGCCCUAGGAAAGCGCGUGCGCAUUAUAUUUUGGAAUGGAGGGAGUAUGUCAUUGAAAUAAGAUAAAUUACAUUAGAAAAUAGUGACGCAAAAUGGAUGUAUCAGGACGAGCGAUGACGGCAGUGCGUCUUCGGCUCAUUCUGGUGCUUGUAUUCGUCAUUUGGUGGUCAAUGAAUAUAGAUGUAAUUUUUGUUACUUCUGGUGUUCUUUAUGCUGUGAUGUUUGAUGAAUAUAUUGCAAGUUUUUGCCAAAAAAAAUCCCCUUUGGAAGAAACAUAAUCACUCAGGCCAAUUAGACCAGAAGAGCGUGGAGCUAUAAGGGAGAUAUCCCCUUUGGAUUGUUGUGUUGCGAUAGGGAGUCUUCCACACAUAUAUAAAGGUGGAGAGGGAAGGGACCAAUAGAAGAAGUCCUUCUUCUCUUCCACUUUGUGGAAGGAGGGAAGGACCCCCUCCCUAAUAGGAUUCGGCCUAGGCCUUCAUUAGGGAGGUGGCACCCCAUAAGGGCCCCGCUCGGCCAACUACGGGUGGUUAUCUUAUAACAGUUCUCCACAACUUUCUUUCACAAAUAAAAUGUUAGAUUUUUCGGAUGUCUUUGGAACCCAUUCUGAGACCCCCCAAAACUUUUCAUAUACAGAUAUGGACUUUCCAAAAUCAUGUUACACCUUUUGACAUUUUAGCAAAUUUUUUAUAAAUUCAAAUCAAUCUUUAGAAUAUUGGUUCUGAAUUGGGUUCCUAUCUUCAUCCCGCUCCCCUUGUUAGAUAUCUAAACCCUAACACUAGCCAUCCACCUAUUUCUCAAACGCACCGCCAAGCAGCGCUAACCCUCUAUCCUUAUUGCCCACAUUUCUCGACCCUCCACCAUAGUCGUAGAUGUCAUUUCCUUGUCUCCACAUGUCUAAUUAUGCUAUCUCCACCAUCUCCCACCACUCACCUAAUUCGCCGCAGACCCCCUUGGACGCAACCCAUAUAUGUUAUUCAAAUUAUAAUAUAUGCAAUUAAUUUCAAUUUACUGGUGAUAGCCUAUAUAGCUUAAGCCUGAAUUCGGUUCUUAUCUCCCUUUCGCUAGACCUAUGGACCUUAACCUAGCCAGUCUAUCGCCAGAUGCGCUGUUAGAAAUGGUCACCUUCUUCACCCCCUCAUGAAUGCAAUUAAAUGCCUUCCAUAUAGUCUUGUGUAUGAAUUUAGGUAACCAACUUUUUCCAACCAAGUAAAUUUUCUAUAAAUUCAAAUAUUUAUAUCUAAAUCGUGUUCCUAUCUUCACCCCGCUUCCCUGGUUAGAUCCCUAAACCAUAAACUAGCCCAUCCACCUAUUUCUCAAACGCGUCGCCAAGUGGCACUCGCCAUCUAUCCUUCUUGCCCUAAUGUUUCGCCCCUCUACCAUAGUUGUAGAUGUCAUUUCCUUGCCUCUCAUGCCUCCAAGCGUCUGCUUAAGCUAUCUCCACCAUAUCCCACCACUCACCUAAGUCGCCGCAAACCCCCUUAUUAUUCAGAUUCUAAUCUACGUAGUUCAUUUCAUUUUAUUAGAGAUAACUUAGCUUAAACCUGAAUAUGGUUCGUAUCUCGCUUUUACUAGACCUCUAAACCUUAAACCUAGCCAGCCUAUCGCCACACGCACCGCUAGGAAACGGACACCUUCUUUCUCCCCUCAUGAAUGCAAUUCAAUGGCCUUCCGUAUAGUCGUUUGUGUGAAUUUGGGCAAUAAACCUUUUGCCAGCCGAGCAAACUUUCUAUAAACUCAAAUCAAUCUUUGGACCGUUGGAUCUGAAUCGGGCUCUAUCUUCACCCCACUUCCCAGUUGUCUAGAUCUCUAAACCCUAGCAGUAGCCAAUCCACCAAUUUCUAAAUCGCACCACCAGGCCCAUCCACCCAUUUCUCGAAUGCGACGACAAGCGGCGCUCGCCCUCUUUACCUUUUGCGCUCGUUUCUCGCCCCUCCACCAUAGUCGUAGUCUCGUAGAUGUCAUCUCCUUGUCGCUAAUGUCUCCACGUGUCUGAUUAUGCCAUCUCCCACCGCUCACCUAAGUCGCCGCGAACCCCCUUGGUCGCAGCCCAAAUAUCCUGUUCAAAUUCUAAUCUAUGUAUUUAAUUUGAAGCAUUGAUAUGCAAUACUACGGACAGUUUUUUCUUCUUGUUGAACAACUGAUCCAACAGUUUGAGCAAAAAGCUAAACUGAACAAAAGAAGGGGAACAGAAAAAAAGGAUGAAGAAAAUAAAGCCAAGAAAAGUCGACCCUACUCUAAAACUAUUCCUCCCGCAUCACGAAAAGUUGACGCAGACGCUGCCGUUCUUGGCGCAUCCGCACGACGGGCACGCCUGCGCCGAUGCCGCGCACGGCGCGCACACGCAGAGGUGCCGGCACGGCAGCAGCAGCACGACGGCCGCGCCCUCGCCGCACCCCUUGCACCUUCCGACUCCCGUCGUGGCCGGCGUGCCCACCUCGGCCUCCUCCUCCGCGCAGACGGGCACCUGGUUCUCCCCCCAGCAGCACGACUCGGCGUCGUCCUGACCGUCGCCGUCGCCACCGGCACCGCCGCGGACCGCCUGCGCGUCGAGCACCCGCUGCAGGUCGGCGCGGAGCACGCUGGCCGCGGCCUCGUGGGACUGCGCGACGUCGCGCCACAUCUGAGCCUCCAUGUAGAGGCUCCUGAGGCGCUCCUCCAGCGCCCAGUUCAUGCCCCGGACCCGCUCGAUCUCCUCGUCCUUGGCCUUGAGCCGCUUCGCCGCCCUGGCCUCCACGGUGGACACGAUCAACCGCAGGUGGCUCCGCCUCUGCUCCGCCAGAGCAGCCCACAUCUUUCUCGCCUGCAUCAUGCAUCCACCACCGUUAACAACAAACAAAGGCCAGAAAAUCCUGAUCAAACGCGGCGAUUAAUUUGGUCACGGGACUUACAUGUCUGUGCAGGAUGUGGUCGACGGCGACGGCCUGCUGUUGCGCGUGGGCCGCAAGAACUUCGCCGAGCACCGACGAGGACGCCCCCUCGUCGACGCGCCUCCGCUUGUUGCCGGAGGUCAUUUCCUGGGCGCCGUCGCCCUUCCUCGCCAGAUCAGCCGCGGCCAGCGCCAACAACUCCGAGUACUGAUCCGCGGCCGACAUCGUCGGCGGCGGCGUGAAGAUGUCUGCGUACGGCUGGCACCCAAGCUGCUGGCCCGUCACCGCGGCGCCGUAACAAGGCCCGCUCGCAGGCAUGGCGGCGGCCGAGGCGCCCGGCCGGUUGGCGAGCAGCAUGUGGCGCAGGCGUUGCAGGUCCACGGCCAUGGCUUGGCGAUGCAAAGGCCGGGGACGGGGCGCGCGCGCGGUCUGCUCCUGGCACUGGCAGGCCGCGGGGACGUGCCUCUAUAUAAACACAGGCAGCCAAGGCGAUGGCGAUGCGUCCCCGGAGUUAGUCAGAAGUGGGAGGUGAGGUCAUGGAUGGAUCGGCGAUGGAUGGAUGGGCAGCGUGGCCGGGGUGGCGAGGAAAGAAACAAGGAGGUCCGUCCCGCCCUCGGAUGGCAGGCAGCCGAGUAUUUAUGGUGCGUGACCGGGCGGGGUGGGUUUUGGUUGGCGUCCACGUUUGAUGGCCGGGCCUCGGCCUCGAGUGAGCAACAGACGAUGAGAUUGACCCCCGAUUAUCCUUCUCGUUUUCAGGGGCGAUUUCCUUUUAUUUAUGCCUUCCGUUUCAAUCAACCUCUCCCCCUUCAAUAAUUCGACUUAAUUCGGAGUGCUCUCCUAGCUAGAAACCAAGAAUAUAUAUAUAUAUAUUCGCCGCGUGUUACCUUAUACUACACAAGAGUCUGCAACCAACGCAUGCAUAUAUUCAUGCUGGCUUCUGUUUGCUGAUCUUGCAAAAGGAGACCAGAUCAUCGUCGUCGUCGUCGUCGUUUAAGUUAGCAUGUCGUGGCGCCAAAUCAGCAGGCGUCGUUGAGGCUGCUUUGAUCUGCUGCCGCACGAAUCUUGGGGUGUAAGGAAACCCACAACCGAACAACACAAAUUACCACGCGCUUCCCUCCCUCCGGACUUGGUAAAGCGCCGUGGUUAGCGGAGGGCAAUUCGGAGAAGAAGGAGAAGGAAACUGCAUGCAUGCAUGCGUUUUGGCGCGUACGUUCAUGCACGCCACUGCAUCUGCAUGCACGUACUUGAUGUGCUGAGAUAUAUAUUAGGCGUUUUUUUUGGCUGGCUAGCUGUAGACAGGUUUUUUUAGGGGGAAUAUAUAGGAAAAUAACAAGGGAGUAAAUUACAGCGUAGUAGAGGCAGAGACGGGGGCUCAAAAUUAGCAAGGAAGUGAAUGAGCUAGAGUAAUUGACUCUUGCCUGUAUACAUCGGUCCAAAUCCGGCCGAUCGAUCUGUACGUUUAAUUUGGACGGAAAGUACGUACGCACGACAGCUUUUGGUUUAAUUUGAUUUCCAAAAAAGAUCUCUACUGCCAGAAUUCUAGGGUACGUAGGUAUUAUCGUCUUCGUCGGUCGUCUUCAAUUGCGGGAUAUACAUGACCUUAAAAGCUGUCGGCACCAAAAUAGAACCGACCACCAGCCAUUCAAAUACAGUACAUGGCUUGUACAGGUGUUCAAAAAAAAACAUGGCUUGUACAGCUGUACAAAUACGACGCAGAUCAGCAUGCCAGCUCAUCACACAUCCACUGUACAAACACCCAAGAGUAUCUUUGGCAAAAAACAUUUAAAAAAGAAUAAUAAAAUAACAAACGGUCAAAACAUUACGCUGUGUUUGGCUGCUCAGUAUUUUUGGAGUUUUAGGAGAAUACCAUGGUUUUUGUAGAAACCUCAGUUUUAAAUACUUUGACGUGUUUGGCUUCGACAAAUACUUUAGUUUUACAAACCGUGGUAUAUCUAAAACCAUGGUUUUUUUGCUGUAUCUAAAAAAGAGGUCUCGACCUCUUUUUUGUAAACUGAGAAACGCUAGCUCAAGUCUAUCUUCUUCGGGUCCUCCUCACCCAUCAUUCCUCCAUCUCUUCUGCAGCCAGCAAAUCAAGAUUACCACAUGGGAAACUUUACUACUCUGCUUCAAUCGUUGACUAUUGUUCUAGUGCAACAGAAAGCAGCCCGUACAUUAGCUAGUACUAGACGUUCAAUCUUAUCAGAUGUGGUGUGUACAGAUACAAAAGAUUUAGCGAAGGCUUACACCCUGGAGUAGAUCAAUUGAUACUUGGAGUAAAGUUAUACACAUCCGGCUAAGCUAGCUAGCCGAUUGAUUCCAUGUGGCCAAAGAAACAAGAUUACUCAACAACAUAUCCUACUCCCUCUGUUCCUAAAUAUAAGUCUUUGUAGAGAUUUCACUAGAUGGACUACAUACGAAACAAAAUGAAUGAAUCUACACUAAAAAUGCAUCUAUAUACAUCCGUAUGUGGUUCAUAGUGGAAUCUCUACAAAAGACUUAUAUUUAGGAACGGAGGAAGUAGCAUCUAAAGGAUGUUCGCGUGCAUGAAAGGCUAUAGGCAUAUAUGCAGCGGCCAUUAAUUAGCACAAGCUGAUCAGGUCGUUGUAUAACUCCUUUGACGUAGCUCAAUUUGGUUCAGCUAGCUAUAUCUAGGAUCAUCCCCGCAACGAGUGGUCAAAACCGAGAAACUAAGAAAAACUGCACUUGCCAAACAUCUCUAUAGUUUUACUAAAACUGAGAAAAACCGCGGCUUUUAGAAACCAAAGUAUUCAUUGCCCACACAUUAGAAUACCGCGGUUUCCAGAUACCAUGGUUUUGAAAAAACCGUGUUGCCAAACUAGGCCUUAACUUUUUUUUUUUGCGGAAGGCCAAAACAACAUUAACGUACGCGCAUAUCUAUCUUUGGAGAGCAAUAGCGAACGACCGAACAAUCAGCGAACCGAAUCGCUAUAUGUAUCCGGAUAGCACUGAAAUUAAUCAGUCGAUUGCAGUUCUCGCUUUCCGUUCAUUAAUCUCUUAUUAUUCUUAUUACCAUAGACCAUUUUUAGGGAGAUCUCCAAUGGACGGACCUCUGUGCUGAGCACGCGGAUAAUUUCACGGAGACGUUUCGGCUUCUUUUCUUCUAGAAAAGAGAAAAGAAGAGGGACAAGACAGCUGAUGCACGCAGCGAGAGCGGGGAAAGAGAAGGAACGGAGCAGCUUUCAAGGAAACGCAUGCAUGCGGACGGGAGAGAUGAUCGGACGGCCGGGCGCCGCGCGAAUAGCUCCACGUGCAUCGCGGUGGCACUUGGUUCCGGCGCGACCGAUCGAUCUGGACAGACGCGCGGCCGGCGACGUGGCACUUGCCAUGUCACGCGCUUGGGGCCGGUACUGUUAGACUUCUUCAAACGCUCGGGGGAACGGCUCCGUAACUUGGUAAAAAACCUGACACAGACGGGGCAUCUCAAACUGACCUCAAACAUCUAGGCUCGCCGGCACCCCUCAUAUCUAGUCUACAUAUAGAACAAGGUUUUUGAGUCGCGACUUGGCGAGUCGCCGCGAGCCCUGCGGCUCAGCGUAUAGUCGACGAAAGUCGCUGUAUAGUCGCCAUAAGUCGCUGUAUAGUCGCCAUAAGCCGCUGUAUAGUCGCGAGUUGCCCUGAUUUUUGGAAAACGACUUGACGAUUAGUCGGCGACUAUACAGUGACUAAUCAGCGACUCAAAAACCAUGAUAUAGAGUAAAUACAGGUUAGGCCAGACGCGCUCGGGCGCGUCCGGCCGCAAGGUUGGACCUGGCCCACACUUGUCCACCCGAUCUCACAUAUAUUAGACCCCAUCCGUUUCCCGAACCAAACGCUAGCCACUCCACUCCGCCACCAAGGUCCCAUCCGGUGAUCUCCGGCCUGGGUCAGAUUUAAUGUCACACCUCCACACGCCCACCGUCGACGCUAGGCACACCGCCGGAAGAGGGCUAGGCAGGGAACCUUAUUCCACCUUCAAGAAGCCGCCGCCGUCUAGCCUUCCUGAGCAUGAUACAAACCCUAUAAAAACUCAAAAAAAGAAGAAAAAAAAAACAGAGCCCUCCCGUCAGCAAGGGCCGGGAUCCAUCGUGCCGCGAUGGCCCUAAGGUCAUCAAAGACGAGGCGAACCGGCCCGGGAGGCAGAGGAACCCUAUAGGGUUUUCAUACGAUUGGAUAUUGUUUUCUCAAUAAAAAAGAAUUCACCCACUUAAAUGCUCAUCCUGCUACAGUUCUUUGUUUUCUCAACGGUGUCAAGCAAUGUUUGAUGCAAAUUCCUGUUGUUUACGCUUAAUUAACAGAGAGAAACCUAAGGCAAGAUGACACCACUCACGUGUGUGUUAUCACAAGCUGACAAGUAUACGAACGUCGAGGCGGCUAACUCCACCAUGACUUCUUUCUUUUCUUUCGCGAUGGAACUCUAGUCUAGUCUAGUCUAGGAUAUGUGAGGCUUGGAGAGUUCACCUCAUCUGCACAACCCCUCCUUGGACCGUUCCGGCGCAUCAAACUCAGCGCUGCUUGUUCCCUAGUUUAAUUUAGUUUCUCAUCUGCAGAACCGAGUCAGAUCUGACCAAGUUUUGGCACUGAUCGAUCGAGCUGGAUAAUGGGGGUUAAUCUAUGCAGCGACUAGAUAAGCUGCGUACGUACUCCUCAAUCAAUCCAUAGUACAUAUACAUCAUCUAUUGGCAUGACAUUUCAACACAUCAACAUACAAAAUGAGAGCAUCAACAAGCUGAUGCUCUCAUUUUAUAUGCAUGGACGCCUUGGUUUGGAUACAUGGUGUUUAAAUAUACAUGCACGAUUGAGCUGAGAUUUAGUCUUGUUUUGGAACAAGGGAACCAGCUUGUAUUAGCUGAUGCCAGCAACGAUGUCACAUCAAGCAAAUUUUUUACAUGGCAAUUGACAUGUAUUAUUCCCGCUUCCAUUUGUUUAAAUCGCACGUUAGCUCGAGAAAUAGAAAUGGUUUGGUGGCUAAAAUUCAGUACACCUGCUUCGGCAUUGGGACAGCUUAGCUCAGAGACGUGUAGGCCAGCUAGAAGUUUUCAUUCAUUCACACAGGACCAUUCGUGAUGCCGACUUCUAAAAUGAUGCCACUCCUCCCUCGUUUGUUUUCCGAGCUAGUUAUGAUGUGCUGCCCCUCAACUGUCACCUCAGACGAUUUGGAAAUAGGUAGAUAGUUAUCAACACCGAAUACAAUUAAUUAACUACUAACAUAAUGAUUCUACAGGAAAAAAAAUGAUUUGAACUGCACAUACAAGAUCAUCCAAUUAAGAGCGUCCCUUUCACAGUCCAUUCUGAUUUUCCUUUCGGGCAGAGUGGUUAGCACACCUGGUGUCAUAUCGGUUGGCUUCCAUUUUCAUGCCAAUAGCCAUACACAUCAACAAAUUGGCACCAAUAAGUGCGUGUAAUUUACCUCCGCCUUCCUUUGCUGAAGUGGAGAUGUUGUCGACUAAGCUAAAUACUAUAUCAGCAUGUCAUUAUCAUCAACAAAUAUAUCACCAUGUCAAUAUCAUCAACAAAUGAGCAUACGGUAUUGCCACGCGAUACGUAUUAAUAUAUACAUGGACGUCCUCAAGAUUAUUUCAUAUAUACAUGGACGUCCGGGUUUGGAUACAUGAUGUUUAAAAAAAACUUAUGCAUGUUUGACUUGAGAUUUAGUCCUGUUUUGGAAAAGGGGAACCAGCUAGGCAGAUACCAGCAAAGCAGCAACCAUAUCAUAUCAAGCUUUAUUUACAUGGCCAUUGAUUUCUAUUUUCUCUCUUCCAUUUGGAUGUUUAAAAAUGAUUUGGUGGCUAAAAUUCAGCACACCUGCUUCGGUAUUGGGACAACUUAGCUUAGAGAAUUGUAGGCUUGAAGUUUUCAGUCAUACAUGACCUUUUCUUAAAAGGGAUACAAGACCAUCUUGUUAUGUCGACACCUAAGAUGAUGGUACCUCCUCCCUCGUUUUUUUUUUGAAUUUUGAGUAAUGAUGCGGUACCGCUCAACUGCCACCAUGGACGAUUUGGAAAUACAUAGUUAUCAACACCGAAUACAAUUAAUUAAGUACUAAACAUGAUUCAAUAGAUUUUUUUAUUCGAACUACACGUAUAAGAUCGUCCAAUUAAGAACGCCCCUUUCGCAAUCCUUCCUAGUUUCCUUUCACACAGAGUGGUUAGCAUACCUGGUGUCAUAUCGGUUGGGUCCAUUUUCAUACCACCAAGAGCCAUACGCAUCCACAACUAGGUAGCAAUAAGUGCGUGCAUUUUAUCUCUAGCUCCCUUUGCCAAAAUGGAAAUGUUGUCGACUAAACUAAAUAUUAGAUCAACAUGUCAAUAUCAUCGACAUGUAGAAGAUAGACACCGAUUUGACACCCGGGGGCCACAUGAUAUUGCCACGCAGUAUGAAUACCCGGAUGCAUUCCGUCAUUUUCCCGGUUGCCUUUCGGGCUCCUCUAGGUGUCACAGUUGUGAGAAACCACAAGGUCCAUGCACAUUUGUCCCAUUCAGCACAGACGCUUGUGAUUCACCGCCCCCCUUUAAUCGCACAACUGGGAAAAAGAUAACUGAGAUAUGGUUAACCGUCAGCCAUCACCCAAUCGAUGUGUGUGUGUGUGUGUGUGUGUGGUCACUCAUGGUAGCACGACCUUUUCUUUUCGCGUGUCCACUUCUCCCCCAUCAACCUCAUUAGAGCGAUUCCUCCAUUUAUCUGAAGUUGUAGCAAAAUAAAUUAAAAGGCGGGGGAGGCAUAAAGGAGCCAGUGCUAACUGCUACUGAAAAGGCUCUUGUCCAUCCCAAGAUUUUUUAGCGGUCAUACAUGUCGUUUGGUGGUUGCUUGGAUGUAUCGGUUAGCUGCUAAAAUGAUGGCAUCUCCUCCCUUGUUUGUUUUACGACUUCCGAGUGAUGAUGCGGUGCCCCUCAGCUAUCACCUCGGAAAAUUUGGAGAUAGAUAGUUAUCAACACCAAAUACAAUCAAUCAUUAAGAAAAAUGAAACCUUUUCUCUUCAAGUUUUCCUUCUUUCAAUGGAAAAUACUACAAGAUCACCCAAUUAAGAGCAUUCCUUUCAUAGUCCUUUGUGGUCUUCCUUUCAGGCAGAGUGGUUAGCACACCUGAUGUCAUAUCAGUUGGCUUCCAUUUUCAUACCAAUAGCUAGUAUAAUGCAUCAACAAAUAGCACUCAUAAGUGUGUGUGUUUUUUCUUCAGACAAACAGGAGGCCACCACGCGGCCUCCCCGCUCCAUUACUCAGAAUGAAAUAGGACACAGAACAGUCACAUCAUCUAAGCGCUAAAAUGAAAGGUUUUUUUUUUACUGCAACGAAAUUAAACAAGCCAUUUCUACCUCACAAAUGAGGGCUAGAAGUUUACUUUCAUGCUCCUUCCAUGGUCCUUUCUAAUUUUCCUUUCGCGCAGAGUGGUUAGCAGGUGUCGUAUUGGCUAACUUUCAUUUUUCAUACCAAUAGCCAUAUGCAUCAACAAAUAUGCAUCAAUAAGUGAGUCUGUAUUAUCUCCAACUUCCUUUGCCGAAGUGGAAAUGUUGUCGACUAAAUUAAAUAUAUUAGCAUGUCAAUAUCAUCAACAAAUACACCAGCAUGUCAAUAUCAUCAACAAAUGAGCACACGGUAUUACCACGCAAUACUUAUACCCGGAUGCAUGUCGUCAUUUUCCUGGUUGCCUUUCGGGCUCCUCUAGGUGUCACGGUUGUGAGAGACCACAAGGUCCAUGCACAUUUGUCCCGAUGCUUGUGAUUCGCCGACCCCUUUAAUCGCACAAGCAAAAAGAUAACCGAGAUAUGGUUAACCGCCAGCUGUCACCCUAUCGCUAUGUACGUGCGUGUGUCCACAAUCACUCAUGGUAGCAAGACUUUUUCUUCGCGCGUGUCCACUUCUCGCCAGUCAACCUCAUAGCGUGAUUCCUCCACUUAUCUGGAGUGGUAGCGAAAUAAAUUAGAAGGCUGGGGAGGCAUAAAGGAGCCAGUGCUAACUGCUACUGAAAAGGCUCUUGUCCCUCUCAAGAUUUUUCAGUGGUCAUACGUGUGGUUUGCUGGUUGGUUGGAUGCAUGGGUUAGCUGCCAAAGCUUGGUUAUUCUAGCUUAGUGUGCAAUUGGCUUUGUGGAUUCGGCCAUAUGUAGAUAGAAAAGAGAAGGUGGAGAGAAGUUGGCCUCAGUUAAGUAUGCAAAAUCUUUAGACGCAGCCUGUUUGUAAGCAAAUGGCGUUUUAGACAAGGACACUCCUCUUAAAAUACAUCUUUGGCCAGCAAAAAAAAGUUAUAGAAAUGUUUUCCAUGAAAAAUCCAAUUAUAUGUUUUCACUUUACGAAUCCAAACUUUUAUAUGUUAUUAGUUAAAGUUAGAAAAAGUUUGGCUGAAUGUUUUCGAGGAAGCCAUCAUCUAUUUAGGAACAGAGGAAGCACAAUUCAACACCUGUCAUCGCAUACUCAUUUUUAUCAGGCGUGACUUUUUUCAGAGGGAGAGGUUUGCAUGGAAAAUGAGACGAUUAGUUACGCCAUUCGACCAGACAAGCCAGUUGAAAACUAAGCGGUUGCAGGUGAAUGGCAUUUCACAAAGCGAAAAUUCACCAAACAUUGGCACCAAUCUUGUUUUUUCUUUCCAACAAGCGUCACAUCUAAACCUAAUGCAAUUAGAAGGGCCCAUUUCCUAUCUUCAGUCGAAAGGUGAAUGUAUGGGUGAAAGGAAAGGAAAGAGACAGGAACAUCGUUGGACAAUAGAAAAGGUUGAUGGGAGGAAUUUUUGCUCCACGAAAGCAAGCGAUAUCUUUUGUUCCUACUAGCUAGUUCCUACUUGAACUUGAUCGAGCCUUUGGUUUAGUGCUGCACAAAUGGCAUACGAGCUACUACUAGCUUCUACUACACCCCCACACGGAACCAACAUGGCAAAGAUGGCAAAGAUUUGUUCUCCUGGCUGUAUAUAUGCUACGCGCUAACUAGCCUUUUUGGAUCUACUGAUCGAGCUAGUAGCUAGCGUUGGUGCAUGCACGGGAGGCUAUAGAAAGCUAGGGAUUAUCCCAAAGUUUUAUAUAUCAGCCAUGCGCUCAAUGUGACAGAAGCAGAUCAGCCUGCUUUGUGAUUGUGAUUUGUGAGAGCACGGUCAUGAACAAACACCACGGCACUCACCCUAUAUAUCCACCUUUAAUUUUCCAUUGCUGACUGAGAUGCACAUACAUGGGAUGGUGGGCUAGCUAGUACCAGUGACCAGUAUUGCUCUCCACAAUAGCAAAAAUGUCUCAGUGCCAUGUGUUUUCUUUCUUUUGUGUACAGUGUCUUAAUGCCCUGUGACUAUGAAGUAAUUUUAUUUUCUUUGAGAAAAUGAAUUCUGAAGUAGCCCCAAUGGAAUGAAGGUUAUACCCCCCCAAAAAAGCUUGUGCUACAAGAUUAUCGUAGUUAUCAUGUCAUCAUCAAUCAUUUCGAUGCGAAGAAGACCGUACGGCCACGCGGCAGCAUCCAUCAAUCAAUCGUUGUAGCUAGUGUCCCCAUUGCCUCCACUUUGAUUUGCCAACGGAAUCGCUUCUGCUUUCCUGCAUUUGCCAUGGAAAAUGGGACAAGGAAUCGGGAUAACGAAAGAACGAGAGAAAGAGGCGAACAAUUAAAGGAAACCAGAGAGGCUGAGACUAAAAGCCAUUGCCGAUCUCCCACCCAGCAUGUGUAGAUAAUAGAUCGUAGCCUAGCAGACACGCAGUAGCACAGUACGCAGUCCUCAACUCACAAAAUUCCGUGGCUCCAUUAUUGUUCCCAUCGACCCUAGCCGUAUUAUCUAUCCGCUCGCCCCCACUCCGAUGAUCCAGUGCCAAGAAAAGGAAGAAAACUCAUCACGAUAACCUAAUCAAUGGAGGACGACGACGCGAGAAGGUUGAACAAGAACGACUAGGAAAUGCAUGUUGGGAAAAGGGAGGAACAAAGAGAGGUUAUAAACAAAAGAGAGCUAUACAAGCAGCAGAUCUGACUCGGCCGGGCGGGAAAGUGGUUGUGGAGAUCACCCCAUGGAUUCCUGCACUAGAGCUCCCUCGCAAAAGCCAAGAAUGAUAAUCACAGAAACAAUACUGAUGUACUACGGGUGUCCCUUUAUUAUUUGUGCCCGUGCAUGCUCUCCACGUCAAGGGGUUCUCGGCGAUUUGGCAUCAUCAGACCAAAACAUAUUCUUGUCCCGAUCAUGCUCGCUCUCGCUCACACGCCACCUUUCUUUCUUUCUUUCUUUUCGAAAGGCUCACACACAACACCUCCUUGAAAGGUGAAAAGAAACUUGUGAGAUCGAGUUGGCUGGCCACGAUGUCAUCGUACAUCAAUCUAUCUAUCUAUCUGCAGUCCUGUUGCACCGCUGGUCCCGUCCUAACGCACAGCACGGGGAUGGAUAGGUAGUAGAUAUAACUGAGAACGAGAUGCCAUCCGUCCAUGUGGGCGUGAUGGGAAGGUCCUACUAGAUAUAACUGAGAACGAGAUGCUUUGCCUGUGCCGUCCAUCGCAAAAGCCAAAAGGGAGGUCAGCUCUGUGCCGUGGUGGUGCCGAAAGGAGCUAGCUAGCUAGGUCGGGGCCUGGGCAGUCCCUUGGCGUCAGUCAGGCUCGCUCGGACGGAUCACAACACCAAGGGCAGUCAACAAACCUGUUUGUACAAAAUUAUCCUAGCACUAGAUGCUGCUGAGAUGAUGCAUCCUGUGUAGUACGUGCUCAUGCCGAUGCUGCGAGUCAGCACGACGUUGACCCAACUUCCGUUCUCCGUUUUGUGCCCCGCGCCACAAAAUUGACCCGGAGAUGAAUGAAUGCCAUCUCUGGUCGACAGUCCCAAUGGCCAGUAAUUUUGACAGGAGCGCAUGAAAAGAACGUGAGGCAGUAAAGAAUGUGAGGGACCAAACGCAUGGCAGGCAACAAACUCCAAACACAUACAGCUCCUAGAAGCAGGCCGGCUCCGGGUUGCGAUGAUGAGCUAAACGUGGAACGAUCCAUUCCCCUCUCCAGAUGCUCGUGCUCAGUCCCAUUGAUCCACAUGGAACAAAACUAGAAUAACCUCCCUUGGAUACGUCUCGUCUUUACCCGGUGACAUGCUACACAUAAAGAAAGAUCAUGGAGACACACAAACAAACAACCAAAGAAACUGGAUGCAGAUCGAGGGACAGGCCCCCUCAAUAGCAUGCCAGGAUUGCGAAAUCUUUUUAUUUUCUCGAGGGAAAACCAAGAUUGCGAAAUCUGAACCAACCAAAUCACACCAUGGCUAGCAUCAUCAGUGCACGCCUACACGCACACAUUGCUUUCUUCGGAUGAGACAAGCAUAAAAAUGGCCUGCUGCUAGGGUCAGUAGUAGAGGCCAUGUACGUAUGACGCGCGACGCUGAUGGACAGAUAGAUGGUCCAAAUGUUUGUCCGGGGCGACGGAGACGGCCGAUCCGAGCGGCUCCUGGUGUUCAAAUCAGGAUUUCUUUGCUUAGUGCUAAGCGCCAAUUUGUUCAUUCAAGCGAUCGAAAGAGAUUUGUUUCACGACGUAAAUGGGGUGCUUUGUCGGACCCCUAAUGGAUAGGCACCCAAGAGAAUUGCGACGUUCGACCAGCAAAGGAAAAUUCAGAGAACCUACUCAAUGCCGAAUUUACUAGAGUUUGAAAACCUACCACACCCAAGAGUACAAAAGGGAAGACGUGCCCACCGUGAAAGCUGAGAGCCAAUGGAGACAUUCAUCAGAAAUGGAGAGGCCAAUGAUGUUACUGGACCGAUAAGCUGCAAGAAGCUGGAACCCUGCCUAAUUCGGCAAAUAAAAUAAGAUUUAGGCCCAAAUCUAGUGCUAAGUGGUAACUAGUAUGAGAAUCAAAGUGAAAGACAAGUAGUAAAGAUAAUGGCAGCUUCCUAAAGUCAAGGCAGGGUCCGGAGAAAGAAAAGGACAGCAAAACCAUGCAGCAAGCAAAGCCAGUUCCUGAAACAGUGACAACUCAUGGAUUUUGUGCAAGUUGCCAACUUAAAAAAGGCAGGCCCUAGCCACACACAAAAGUUGUUUAUGGAGCGCGCAAUGCUAAUGCUACCGAGGGACAGGGACGGGCAAGCAAAGACUGGUGUACAAGAAAGGCGCAGCGCAUCGAUUGGAAACCCAGAUGGGUCAACAGAGGCUGAAGGUGACCAAUAAUAGAGCCAAAAAGUAUUAACAGAGGUCCAGAGUGCAGGUUGUGGAAAUAAAUAACAUGGUUUGGAGGGCUACUGCAGAGGGAGAGAGAAAUAAUGCUUACCAGGAGAAGAAGAAGAAACAUGAUCAGAAAAGUUGCCAACCAAAUCUAGCUUUCAGUGCAUCUGACCAGGCUCAUGACCACCAUCAUAGGUGCUCCCUUAGUGUCUGCAGAAUCUGGUCCCAAUCACUGCUCCUGCUCAUGCUCUUCACUUUCAGGGGUUAUAAUUGGGCCUCCAUGUGUCCACACCAUGCAUAAUUUUGUCGGUCCUUGUUUACUUGGCAUAUGCUCGUCUGAUUUGAUCCCACUGAGGGCUGUGUUUGCCGUUGGAGUUGGAGUUAAGUAUAUAUGCAUACCCCGCCAAGGCAUCAUUCUAUGUUGACAACCACUUCAAUGCAGGAAUAUAUCACAAGGUACUCAAGAUUAGCUUGAAAUGGAUCCAAACCUGCCCAUGAAUAGCCUGUUGCGGGUAUAUAACGAUUGGCGUAACAAACCAGCAAAGCUCUGCGUGCCUAGAAUCCGAUCCGAGAUCGACGGUAAGCAGUGUUUCCCCUAUUUCGCCGGUCUUUAUUCAGAGCUAAACAAGCACCAAACCUACAGGCUUUCAGAGGAUAGCAUUGUUCAGCCCUCGCUCAAUCCAUCAAAGCACUCCAUUGUAUUGUCUCUGUACUUUGACUGGUGCACAGCGUAUUGAUUUCCACACCAAUGCACAACUUUGUCGGUCCGUCUUUACUUAGCAGGUGCUCAUCUGAUUCGAUCCCACUGAGAGCCAUGUUUGGCGUUGGAGUUAAGUAUAUAUGCAUCUCCCACCAAGAAUAUCAUUCUAUGUUGAACUUGACAACCACUUCAAUGCCGGAAUAUCAGAACAUACUCAAGACAGUCUAAAAGGGAUUCAAACCAGCCCAUGAAUAGCCUGUUGCGGGUAUCGAUUGGCGUAGCAAAUCGGUAAAGCUUUGCGUGCUCCGAAUCCGGUCCGAGAUCAACAGUAAACAGUGUUUUCCCAGUUUCGCUGAUAGGGCUAAACAAGCAACUGACCUACUGCCUUUUGGAGGAUGCAAUUGUUCAGCCGUCGCUGGAUCCAUCAAAGCACUCCAUUGUAUUGUCUCUGUACUUUGACUGGUGCCCAGCGUAUUGAUUUUGACACAAAGCUGAAUUACACAGAAACAGUACCAGUACCAGAGACUCUGCUACAGAAUAAUCUAGCAACAUCAAACCCAUGCUACAAAGACUGACCCUGAUUGCUGGAUUGCUAUAUUUGUACUGAGAUAUUAACAAGAGAAGAAAGGUUUUCAUGACAGCUUGCAGCAUAACUGUUCCUGCUGGAUAAAGAUCAUACAGUAACUGGUAGGUCAUCUUCGCUUUUAGUUGACCAUCUGUGAGUUCCAACCGCUGAACAAUUUCCAGUUAACAUUACAAAGAUGCGUUGAGUGAGGGUUAUAAUCCCAUGAGUGUUGGUCCCUCUUAACAAAAAUGGGGUAAUCUGCAGCAAAAAAGUGUUAUGACUGUCAAAACGCACAGACUCUGGUGGUGGCUAUAACAGUAUAAACCUUCUCAUAAGUCUCCCAAAGGGCACAUGAUGAAUGCGGUAAUGCAAAAUGAGUAGUUGAAUGUGGAAACGAAAGUUGCGUAUACAUGUUACAGCUAUCGACGAUAAGUAGUUGUUUGAAAACAUAAUCAGCACGUGAGUUAAAAACUGCAGUAUUUCACAUUUCUGAUAUAAACAAUUGAGAGGGCUAUCCAAUAACCAUGGAGAAAAUCCAUUAUCCAAAACAAAUAAACUUAAAAUAACAGUGCACAAACAUGGUUCAGGCCUUCAGCACAUGUUUCGACAUGCUCACUUAUUGAGCACAAAUAAUCAAAUUUUGCAUGCACCACAAGGGAUACUCUUACUAGUUGCUUCACAGAAACAUCAGGUCCAUAAUAAAGCACAGAUUUAUGUUCUUCGCAGCGUUUUAUCCAUGUGAACAAGCAAUCUGACAUCUGAAAUGCAUAAGAUGUCAGAUUGCUUCUUUACAACGUACAUAGUACGCGGUGUAACAACAUACGCGUAACGUGGCCAGAAGCUAUCUCAAAUCAAAUGCCGACCUAAAUUGAUUGUCGACCCGGCUGGCGUGUGGUUUGGCGAUGAGCUAAGCGCGGAAUGAUCCAUUUCCCUCUCCAGAUGCUCGUGCUGAGUCUCGUCGACAUGGAAUAAAAUCGUUUCUUGGGUAUUGGGCUAGAAUAACCUCCCCUCGAUACAUCUUUACUACCUGGUGACGUGAUACUGAUAAAGAAAGAUCAGGGAGACGAGACAUGCAAACAAAGAGAUUGGAUUGGAUUGGAUGCACCCUGAAAUACAUGCUCAGAUUGUGAAAUCUGAACCGACCAAAUCACACAUGGCUUGGGUACGCCUCCACGUAUACAUCAAUUUACGCGCACAUUACUUUCUUCAGACGAGACAAGUAUAAAAUGGCCUGCUGCUAGAGUCAGUGGAUUGGCUAUGCACCGAGUGGGAAGAAACGGGGCUCCAGCAUGAUGCUGAUAGAUAGAUGGUCCAAAUGUUUGUCCAGGGCGAUGGAGAUGGCAAAACGUUCAUUCAAGCAAUCGAAAGAGAUUAUUUCACAACGUAAAUCGGGUGCGUCUUUGUCGGACUCCCAAUGGAUAGACACCAGGCAGAUGAUGAUGGAAACGUGGGGUGGUAUUGACUGGCCACGCUAAUUGCGACAUUCGACCAGCAAAGAGACGCUGUCGAACGGCGCGAUUCAGAGAGGCUUCUCAAAGCCAGGUUCAUUCAAAACCUACUAUACCCAGGAGUAGAAAAGGGAAGAUGCACCCACCGUAAGAGCUGAGAACUGGAACUCUACCUAAUUCAGCGAAUAAAAUAAGAUUUUAGGCCGAAGUCUAGUGUUAACUAUGGGGAUCAAAGUGCAAGACAAGUAAAGAUGGUGGUAGAUCCUAAAGUCAAGGCAGGGUCCGGAGAAAGAGACAGCAAAACCAUGCAAGCGACCAAAGCCAGCUCCUGAAGGAGUGGUAACUCGUGGAUUUUGUGGAAGUUGCCAACUUAAAAAGGGCAGGCCCUAGCCCAUAGCCACACACACAAGUCGUUUAUGAGCGGGCAACGCUACUCAGGGACAGGGACAGGCAAGCAAAGACUGGUGUACAAGAAAGACGCGUCAAUUGGAAAGAAAUCCAGAUGGGUCAAAGAGGCUGAAAGUGACAGAAGGGCAAGUAAAGCAUGUGCUGUUGGUGGCCAAUAAUAGAACCAAAAAAAGCAUUAAGAGAGGUUCAGAGUGCAAGUUGUGGAAAUAACAUGGUUUGGAAAUGCAUACCAGGAGAAUAAAAACAAACAGAAUCAGAGAAGGGUCGGGGGCCUUCGGUCUCCAUCUGUUGUAGUAUUUGCUUGACUUUUUCUGGGUAAGCCACUAGCACCCAUCCAAAUAUAGCUUUCAGUGCAUCUGACCACCAUCAUAGGUGCUCCCCUUAGUGUCUGCAGAAUCUGACCCCAAUCACCGCUCCUGUUCAUGCUCUUCACUUUCAGGGGUUAUAUAAUUGAGCAGCGGCCAGUUGGCCUCCCCCAUCUCACCUCCAUGCCGCCACACCAGUGCACAAUUUUGUCGGUCCUUCUUUACUUGGCACAUGUUCCGUCUGAUUCGAUCCCACUGAGAGCUGUGCUUGGUGUUGGAGUUAUAAGUAUAUAUGCACCCCCCACCAAGGCACCAUUCUAUGUUGACAACCACUUCAAUGCAGAAAUAUAUCACCAGGUACUCAAGAUUAGCCUGAAAGGGAUCCAAACCUGCCCAUGAAUAGCCUGUUGAGGGUUAUAUUGAUUGGCGUAACAAACCGGCAAAGCUCUGCGUGCUUAGAAUCCGGUCCGAGAUCAACGGUAAGCAGUGAUUCCCUGAUUUCGCUGCUAGAGCUAAACAAGCACCUACCCUACAGCCUUUUGGAGGAUGCCAUUGUUCAGCCAUCGCUCAAUCCAUCAUAGCACUCCAUUGCAUUGUUCCUGUGCUUUGACUGGUGCACAGCCUACUGAUUUUGACACAAAGCUACAUCACACAGAAACAAUAUCAGUACCAGAGACUCGCUACAGAAUAAUCUGACAACACACACAGACUGACUGUUAUCGCUGGAUUGCAAUAUUUGUGCUGACAUAUUAACAAGAGAAGAAAGGUUUCAUGCCAGCUUGCUGCAUAACUGUUCCUGCUAGAUAAAGAUCGUACAGUAACUGGUAGGCCAUCUUCGCUUAUAGUUGACCCUCUAUGAGUUCCAUCCGCUGAACAAUUGCCAGUGAGGAUUAUAAUCCCGUGUGCUGGUCUCGCUUAACAGAAAUGGGGCAAUCUGCGGCAAAAAAAGUGUUGUGACUGUCAAAAUGCAGACUGUGGUGGUGUAAUCAUGAGCUAUCAGUAUAAACCUUAGCAGGACUUCUAUUUUCUUCUGAAGCAAGGAAAUAGGCCUGAUCUUCCUUCUUCUAGUAAGUAUCCCAAAGGGCACAUGAUGAAUGUGGUAAUGCAAAAUGAGUAGUUCAAUGUGGAAACGGAAGUUGUGUAUACAUGUUACAGUUAUCUAAGACGACACACAAUUGUUUGUUUCAAAACAUAAUCAGCAUGUGAGUUAAACAAUGCAGUAUUUCACAUCUCUGAGAUAAAAAAUUAAGAGGGCUAUCCAAAUAACCAUGGUGAAAAUCCAUUAUCCAAAAAAAUAAACUUCAUAUAACAGUGCAAAGACAUGGUUCAGGUGUUCAGCACAUGUUUCGAAAUGCUCACUGAUUGAGCACAAAUAAUCAAAUUUUGCAUGCACCACAAGGGAUACUCUUUACUAGUUGCUUCACAGAAACAUCAGGUCCAUAACAAAGCACAGAUUUAUAUUCUUCACAGCGUUUUAAUCCAUGUAAACAAGCAAUCUGACAUCUGAAAUGCAAAAGAUGUGAAGAGAAGAAAAAAACAAUCAGGGUCACGUCUCAAUCAUACGGAACACAUUAUGUUAAUUAAGUUGAUACUAACAAACCUAAUAAUAUAGGAAGACCUCAAAACAAAGGACAAUAUCUAUCAGCAGCAAGUCUAUGAAUCCAUGUGCCUGUAAUAAUAUUUGUCCAGAUUCACAACCGAUCAUUAGAUCUAGUAAGAUGUGCAAUUACAUGUGAAGUCAUUUCUCAUUCUUAGACAUCUCAAACAACCUCUAGGGAUGUCCUGCUACUUGUUCAGUAAACAGACCACCCAAAAUACACAGUAAGCAAGCCACCUAAAUACACAGUAAACAAGCCACCUAAAAUACAUAAAUAACUGGACCGAUAAGGGAAUGAUACCGUCCAAGUCCAAUGGAGAUAACUGAAGUCACCAGCGACACGAGCAUCAGGACACAAUCACAUACAAUGAACACAGAUAAUCAUUGCCAACAAAUUCAGAAAUUAGAACACCAAUCAAUGUGCUAGAUCGAAGUCAAAUUCAAUAAUUGACAACAUCUGGAGCAUUUUACAGGUGCCUUCUGCCCGUUAAUGGAUGCGAAAACAACAAAUAAGACUGAUUGAGGUGCCAGCAUGUUAAUGCACUAAUCAUUACCGAUGGUCAGUUCAUGCAAGGGGGGAUAAUGCUGGUAACAGAUUUAAAACAUCCAACCAACCAAGAUAAUCUAGUGGUAUGGCUGUGUGAGUGUGACACAGUUUACGUUGCAGAACUCUCUAAAAUUAAGUAGCGGAACAGUAAUAAAUAUCCUUCUUCAAGCAGAAUCACAUGAGAUUGGGUGAAUAAUAGAGUUUCAGAUAAAUGAGUGCCUGACCAUUGUUUAUGAGUCAAACGUAGAAAGUCAUCCAAGCAGGAGAAGCAAACUCAACAUUACAUAUCUUAAUACAAAGCAGAACUGAUACUGUAACUUUUUGUUUUUGGAAUUAUAAGCUACACAACUGGAGUUAAUCCUCUCAAAUCCCUCAACCUAACCCCUACAUUCCAACUGAACCUGUGACCUUUCAUCAGCUGAGCUGCAACUUGAUUCCUGGGGACGCUUCAUAUUUGAAGAUGUGACAUUGGUGUUUACAGUUCUAUCUUUAAUAGCUAAGGUGCAAGAAACAUCCAUUGUGCAGAGGACUUACAUAGUUUGUUGUGUGCAAAUGGGCUCAUAUGUGAGCAUCAAGCAAUCAACUAAGAAGAUGCACCAGACGAACACAUCAUGGUUUUGCUUCUCAUGUAAAUCAGUACUCGAGCUAUACUGCCAGUGGAGUAUUCAAGUCGAAGCAUGGCCGUCCAAUUAAAGAGGAAAACUGAUCAUGGAAUUUCAGCAGAGGACACUUCUCAAUGAGAUUAAUAUCAUCGUAGGCCUCCUUGAGAAAGACGGUACUUCUUGCACCCUUGUUAGUGAUGUAGAAGAUCCCAUGAUUUUUUAUCAAACAAAGGAGUAGCUUGCAUGGCAGCCUGUACUCGUUAUGGAAGACUUCUAGCUUGUCAGAUGUCAGUCGUUUCUGCAUUAUCAAGCUUAAGACCUCAUGUAGAACAGCAACAGAUCGCUUCCGAGCCUGUGGAGUUGCAGGCUCCACUCGCCUAGCAUUCAAAUAAGGUGAAGGAAACGCCAUCUUCUGCCACCUGACUACCUCCUCAAGGUACUUCCGGUUGGGCCUAAAUCCAGCUGGAUACUUUAACUUGAAAGCAAAAGGACCCAGUAUAUUUCCAUCUUUAGGAACCCCUCUGUACUCCAUUUGGAAACCAUCAAAGUUCAAUUGUUCUUCUCGUGCUGUGACUGCUAGUGAAGAAUCCCAACUCUCCAGACACAGAUGGUCCAAUCCUCUCACAUCACGGAUUGAAAAAAAAUCAGGGUAACUUGGAAUCAACUUGUCCUUGAAGUUCUUUGGUAAACCCAAUUCAGGUUGGAUGAGCUCAAUCUUCUCUAAAGGGAUCUGGCAGUCCAUGGACAUCAUUAACAGCUUCCUCAGAUUUCUUACCAAGAUAGGUUCCAUUAGCUCCUGUGCUCGGAUCUCCUCACCAGAAAUAUUUCUGGCCUUCUCAGUAAGCAUGACAGCAAUGGGUUCACGCGAUGUACUUCCACCAGAGACACGGAAGAUAUUGGGGUGGCGCUCAAUCAGUGCAACAAAGUUCCAUUUUUGGACAAAGCCAACCUCCUUUUCCAGGUCACGUACAAGUAGUGAACCUGUCUUUUGGGCCAGGAUGAGCUCACGGAGACGGAGGAGGAGGGCGGGCUUCUUUUGGAGGUCCAUGGCCUUGUCGAGUCCAGGCUCGCGGUGAUAAAGCUUCUUCUUGGGACGGCGUCCAUGACCGGCAGCGAAUGAGGACAUUUCCUUGAAUUGUAUCAAGGAAAUCGAUCUGGAAAUGUACGGUAAAUGUUCUGCUAAUCUUCUCAUCGAAUUUACGUCUCAAAUGCAAGUCUGUGUAGGCAGUGUAGGUCCCGAGCAUUCAGGAGUGCAUAAAGAAGCAGNNNNNNNNNNNNNNNNNNNNNNNNNNNNNNNNNNNNNNNNNNNNNNNNNNNNNNNNNNNNNNNNNNNNNNNNNNNNNNNNNNNNNNNNNNNNNNNNNNNNNNNNNNNNNNNNNNNNNNNNNNNNNNNNNNNNNNNNNNNNNNNNNNNNNNNNNNNNNNNNNNNNNNNNNNNNNNNNNNNNNNNNNNNNNNNNNNNNNNNNNNNNNNNNNNNNNNNNNNNNNAAACCAUUUUAAACAACAUGAGCUUUGCAACUAAGGAAUAAAAUUCAUAAUACCAAAAGCCUGUAUCUCAAGUCUCAACUCUCAACAAUUCUCAUUUCAGAAGAACAACUCAUAGCAGCAGUGGCAGAAUGAAGAACAUUUUAUAGGGUGUACCACCUCCAACAACAAAAUACAGACAUCACACGCAUACCAUGAAAUUGACCAAAAGAGCAAUAUAAAUAGCUUAAUCAAGUCUCACAACAUUAGAGUUCACUAAAUAUGUUUGAAAAUUGCAAGCAUUACAACACAACUAGUUGGGCGAGAUGAAAUAGAUGGGUACAAAAUCCACAACAUUAAACUACUCUACGCUUUUGCAUUGCCAGAAAAGCGUCAGCUGCUUAUAUCAUACUGUAUCAUCUUCACUCACUCUCAGGAAUAUAGCCCACUCAAUAAAUGUCACCAAGCAGGCAAUUGAUGUUUCACGAGUUGCUCGUCCGUGCCGUUUAUCGGUUUAUUCUUCACUAGUACUCCAGUACCAACUACUAGCUCUGAAGACUGAAAUGAGACAGUACUGACUUCUACAAUCGCACUAGUUACCUCGAGCAGCUGUGUCGAUCUCGAUGCCCGACGGCGUUCGUGGGUCGUGUUCAGGUCCUCAGGACGUCACCGAGCGGAGCUCGCCGGCGGCAGUGGUACGGACAGAAGACCGCUCGUGCUCGGGGUCAGGCGGCGGCCGUGCGAGAGUGAGGAUGGCUCUACGGGUGAGGGGUACUGGGGAGCAACGAGCAAGGGGAGGCGUGGGCCGGGGCAGUCGUGGAGGCGGGAGGCGGGUCGCCGGGGCGGCCAGGUCAGGUCAGUUGUGGCGGCGGCGGCGUUUGGUUCAUUCGAUUCGAUGGCUCGAUCUCGAUGGAACAGCCGAGCAAGGCCACAGCACCGGUGAUGGGCUGGAUCAGCCAGCCCAGUCUGUGACUGGGUAGGCCGCCACAAACUCCACCGGAGAGUACAGUAAAGCUAAUACGGCAGUUACUAAAAAAAAAAGCUAAUACGGCAGGGCUAUAUCUCGCCCGUACCGAGAGCUCUUUUAUUUCGCCUCUGCGGCAAGGUUAGUGGCCGGAAAUAUUUUUUGGAUGAUAUAAAAUUUACACUUUAUAAUAUUUUUAAAAAUGCCAUGAUUUUUUCAGCAAAUGCCUCAAUAUUUUUCGAAUGUCAAGAAUAUGUUUUUUGAAUGAGAUCAACAUUUAUUAAAAGUAGCAUGCACAAUCUUUUACAUGGCCUGGUUGUCCUCGACGGCGGCCUUGUGUUGCGCGGCAGCAGCUUUCUUCUUGGCCUGAACGGUCCAUCAGGCCCUCAUCUUGGCCGAGACUAUGCCAAGCCGCGCGAUCUCCGCCAGUGUGAGCUCCGCCCGCGGUUUCUUCUUCUUUAUCGUCGUGGGGCGGACGGUGGCGGCGGCCGGGUCGACGGGUUUCUUCGGGGCGCCGGCCAUGAAGGAGGAAGGGGAGGGAGAGAGCGGGAGGGUUUGGCGGAAUGAGGGGUAAAGUGAGAGCGUUGUGUCCCCGACGGGCGGGCAAAGGGAGGACAAGGGCGCGCGUCCCCCACGUCCGGGCACUGUCCGUUUUGAUGCGAAUGCGGCCCAAAUUUGGGCCGGAAAUGCAUUGGCGGCUAUUUGUGUCUGUUUAGCCCCAAAGGGACGCGACCUCUGCUUGUCCAAAAUGUGUUUAAAUUCAAAUGAGUGGCCCCUUUGCUUGUCCCAAAAAAACAGGAUGAGUGUACACAGACAACUCAGCUCUCAGCCUGUCAGCACAAUGGCAGCGAAUCACGUGGCACCGGUAGGUGGCACAAGGCAAACGGAAUCCCGACAAGAGUACCACAUGGUCAAACUCAGAGACCUAUCAGUGACCCUUCCCCAUUUGAAGAUGGGCUAGAUUCACACACCACGAUCCAACUGCUUACGCCAACUCCACCGCACGACUCCAAAUCGUUCGGGGCUGUCCGUUUGAGGUAAAACGGACAUACGAGACGUCCCAACGCAUGAUCCCAUCCUAAAAAAACGUUCGUUUCUUGUCUGCCUCGGCCCAUUCUCGGAGCAAACUUGGUCUGGGUUUGGGUCUGAAACGGACACGCCCGGACGUCUUCUGCGUGGUCCUCGUCCGCCCCUGUCCCUUUGCAUGUGACCCCUGGCCCACCUGUCAUUGGAACCAUAUGGGCCCGGCUGCCCACCCACCUGUCCUUCUCUCUCUCCUUUUUCUCUCUCUCCCUCUCUCUUCUUUUGCAGCUGGCGGCCACCUCCAUGCGGCCACGACGGGGCGACGGGCGGCGGGGCACGGCUGCCGGCGUGGUGGUGGGCGACGGGCGGCGGGGCGAGGCGGGCGCNNNNNNNNNNNNNNNNNNNNNNNNNNNNNNNNNNNNNNNNNNNNNNNNNNNNNNNNNNNNNNNNNNNNNNNNNNNNNNNNNNNNNNNNNNNNNNNNNNNNNNNNNNNNNNNNNNNNNNNNNNNNNNNNNNNNNNNNNNNNNNNNNNNNNNNNNNNNNNNNNNNNNNNNNNNNNNNNNNNNNNNNNNNNNNNNNNNNNNNNNNNNNNNNNNNNNNNNNNNNNNNNNNNNNNNNNNNNNNNNNNNNNNNNNNNNNNNNNNNNNNNNNNNNNNNNNNNNNNNNNNNNNNNNNNNNNNNNNNNNNNNNNNNNNNNNNNNNNNNNNNNNNNNNNNNNNNNNNNNNNNNNNNNNNNNNNNNNNNNNGAGCGGGGCCACAGGGCGCAAGCGCGGCGUGGUGGAGGGGCCACAGGGCGGGGCGGCCGCAGGCGAGCGCGCGCACGAGUGGCCGCAGGUAGGGCGGGCGCGGGACACAGGUGGGGGACGAGGCGGACGUUUUGGGGUCGAGCUGCGCGUUGGGCGCCUCCGACUUAACCCGAACAUGCAUGUCUGUUUUGCCAAACGGACAGAAUCCGGACAAAACGAACGCCCGUUUGGGGUCGUGCGGUGGAGUUGGCCUUAAUGCUUAUACGUACAUGAAUGAUGAACAAAUUAUACACUACAACCGUACUCUACUAGACCAAGUUACGGACGUACAGUACGAACAAACAAACACACACACGAAGCACACAACGCUAAUUACACAUGCACACACCACCCACGUACUGUACACAGCAAGGCAACUCUGCUGCUACUGCUAGGAGUAAAAAGAAUCGGACGCAUCUGCUCAGCUCUGCUGCUAGGAUAAAUGAAAUGGAAUUGAAUGAAACAGGGGGGAUGCGUAUGCAAUGCAGCAAUGCAUCCCUAAUGCACCACCACCACUAUUCGUGGCUUUAUUCGAUGAUGAUGAUUCGAUCCAAAUCCAAUCAUGGCGCUCGCCGCACCGGCCGGCCGGCGGAAUUUUGUGCGCCGUGGUCUGGUGCAUACUCCGGUUGCACCAUUUCAUUGGCCUCCGGUGAACACACACGAGCCGUAGCCUGCAGAAACCAAACCGGUGAUGUUACUGUUGUCCCAUGGAUGGUAAAAACGUAUAGGAUGGUUAAUGAACUACUCCCUCCGUUCGUAAAUACAAGUCUUUUUGGAGAUUCCAAUAUAGACUACAUACGGAGCAAAAUGAGUAAAUCUACGCUCUAAAUAUGUCCAUAUACAUCCGUAUGUAGUUUGUAGUGGAAUCUUUAUAAAGACUUACGAUUUAGGAACGGAGGGAGUAGUACAAUGAUUGUGGUGGUAAUAUGCAGACGGCGGCAGCGAGCAAUUGUCAGUCAGUCGGCACAUGCAAUGGGCAAUGAGUGAAGUGAAUGGAACAGCGCAAGGAAAGCAGACGUCCUUUGGUUUGGUUUGGUUUGGUGGUACCAGUGCACGCACAUGUGCGCUUCAUCAGUGGAAUGUAAAAAUCAAUGGCGAACGAUUGAAGUUGAAGGGAGAGAUGGCGUGCUUACUUGGGUUGGUGGAGGUGAGGGUGGCGGACUGGCGGAAGUCGCAGUUCCACGGGUGGCUGCCGGCGGCCUGGUAGAGCUGGUUCAUGGCGUAGGCGGCGUGGGCGCGCACCGUGUUGGGCUGGAAGCAGGCGCCCCCGGGCUGGAUGGCGCCGCAGUCCACGCCCACCUGGGAGCACGCGUAGUCCAGGUCCGUCUGCAGCUGCGCGUCCGUCGCGCCCGCGCUCGCCACGCACCAUCCCGACCUCUUGCUCGGCGUCGUCGUUGGCGUGGUGGCCGUGCUGCCGCCGCCGGAGCCGGGCGAGGAGGAGGUGAGGCCGGCGUCGUAGGCCAUGGUGAGGUCGGUGUGGUAGAGUCCGAAGGCGCGCUCGGAGGCCGGGCCGGGCUUGAGGUCCUCGUCGUAGAGCGCAAACAGGUACGUGUCCACCGGCUUCCCCGGCAUGAGCGGCGUGCCGGCGCCGGACCGGAGGUGGGCGACGAGGUUGGAGACGUAGGCCCUGGCGUUGUCGACGGUGGCGCCUUGCUCCGUGGGGUCGCCCCUGGUGGGCCACCCGGUCUCCGCCACCACGAUGUCGACCGCGCCGUAGCCGGCGCGCCCCAGCGCGGACUUGACGGCGUCGACCUGCGCGUCGAACAUGUUGGUGUACGUGAUCUUGGAGCCGGCGUCGAGGCGGCCGGCGUUGGGGUGGAAGAGGCAGAAGGCGAGCGUGUCGGGGCGCGGGUCGGACUGGUACGCGAAGUAGGGGUAGGGGUUGACCAUGAAGGGCGCGCCGGUGCGGCUGAGGAAGCCCAGGAUCCCCUGCAGCUGGGCGGCGGCCUCCGGGCGGAAGGCGCCGGCGGAGGGCGGGUCGGACUGCGCGAGCACGGCCAUGGUGUUGACGGUGGAGAACUUGAUCCCCGCGGCUGGCCCGUCGCCGGCGGCGGCGCGGAGGUUCUGCAUGGCCGGGAGCAGCGCAGCGGCGAGCGCGGCGUCCCCGGACUCGAGCACCUCGUUGCCGACGGCGACGACGGAGAUGGUCGUGGCCGGGAGGAAGGGCAGCACGUUGGCGGCGAGCCAGCCGGUGGCGGCGUUGGGGUCGGCGGCGAUGGCGGGGAUGUCGCCGUUGGCCACGCCGAGCACGAGGGAGACGCCGGUGCCGGCGAGCGCGCGGAUGAGGCCCGCGUCGACGCCGUAGAGGCGGAGCUUGGUGAUGGCGGUGGACUUGAGCAGUCGCGCCGUCGCGUCCGGCGGCGGCAGGUUGUCCGCCACCUCGCCGUAGUUGACGCCGAUGUGCUGCGACUGCGCGUCUGCAGGAGCAAACCCAAAUCCAGACACGAAUCAAAGUCGGUAAAAUUGCUGCGCUUUAGGGGAGGAAAAGAAAGCUGGGUGGUGCGUCACUGGAUCCUUCCUAGGGACUCGAGAUGGGGAUUGCUCGAAAAGCGGGGACACUGGGCUUGCUUACCCGAUAUGGCCACGAAGCAGCAGAGGAGGACGGGCGCGAGGAGCAGGAGCUUUCUCGACUCGGCCUCCAUGGAUGGAUUCUUGCUCGGAUUUAGCUUUGGAUUGGUAGCGUCAGUCAGGGGCCGGAAAGCGAGAGGGGGGAGAGGGAGAGAGGAGCGGAGUGAGAGCGAGAGAGAGUGAAGCCGUUAGUUAAGACGGGGAAACGGAGGAGGCCGGCCAAAUCGAGCAAGAAUCGUAUGCGUGCGCGGCGUACGAGAGCACGGUAGCGGUGGCGGGUGGCGCCCGGCGUUGCGUUGCGUGGCGUGGGAGCGCGACCUCGCCUCGUGGCCGCGGAUGGAUUCCAGGCAAGGUAUUGGGUGUGGACGGGGGCUUGGGAUUUGGAGCGCGUGCCGAGCUCUGCGGUGGCCACGUGCGUGCGGCGCCGAGACGGACGGGUGGGGCGCGGCGGAGCGGAGCGGGCCACGGGCGACGACAUGGGUCGCGGCCGACGGUGGGUGGUGUUGAGAGCUGGGACGGCGAUAGUGCCGUCUGGUCCGCCUGCGCUUGCCCGUUGGACAGUGGGGCAUGGUGCGUUUGGUGGGUUUUCGGGUUAAUGUCGCCCGAUCAUCCAUGCGACAAUGGCUUCUGCACUGCGCCGUGCAAUAAUUCGUGUGCUGGCCUAGGUCAGUCAGCAAGGCCUCUUCUCUGUGAAUUUCAAAAAAUGUUCCACCAAUUCCAAAAAAUGUUGGACGAAAAUGUUCAUGAAUUCAAAACAUGUUUGCAAAAUCAUAAAAAUGUUCACGAGUUUUAACAUUGUUCAUGAUUUUAUAUAUGUUCAUGUGCUUAAUUUUUUUUAAUGAUUCUCAAAAGUUGGUCACGAUGUCCGAAAAAUAUGUAGUAGCUUGAAAAGGUGUCCAUAAAAAAGAAAAGGAAAGAAAAAACAAAAAAGAAAGACUAAAAAUGGAAGAAAAAUGAAAAAAAAAGGUUGAGGAAGAAAUCCGAAAAUGGGCCGGCCGAAAACCAGACUGAAGGCACGAGGGAUACAUGGUAGGUCGCUACACGCCGACUGAAGGCACGAGGGAUACAUGGUAGGUCGCUACACGCCAAAUAGGAAACCCCCACUACGGACGCACGGGCCCUUUUGCUAGUAAUUAAUUAUGAGGGGCCGAACUCCUAGGUUUUUAUUAGUGGCCGAACUCCUACUACUCCCUCCAUCACGGUUUAGAAGGCGCGCUUGGAAAUUCUCUGGGACCUAGGUGGUUAUCUAUUGGUUGUGAGAUGGGCUAAAAAAUAGCAUUCACACUACGCAUGCAUAUAGAAGGGAGUACUAAUUAGCUACUAGAAAUAAAUGCAAUGCGCCAUAAACCUUGUCUAUUGUGGAAACGCACGUAAAUUUAACUGUGCCUUCUAAACUGUGACGGAGGGAGUAGUUACUUUAUUUUUUUAGGGGUACUCAGUAGUUACGUUUAAUUUAUUUUGAGAACACUCAGUAGUUACGUACUCCCUCCAUUCCACAAUAUAGUGCCUAUAGAUUUUUAUGAAAGUCAAACGUUAUCAACUUUGACCAAGUGUAUAGAGAAAACUGUCUACAUCUACGAUAUUAAACAUGUACAUUCUGAAAAUAUAACUCAUAAUGUAUUCAAUGAUGUGCAUUUGGCAUUCUAGAUGUAUCUACUUUUCUCAAUAAAUAUGGUCAAAGUUUGUAAUGUUUGACUUUUGCAAAAAUCUAUAGGCACUACAUUAUGGAACGGAGGGAGUAUAUUAUUAUUUUUUGAGCAACACUCGGUAGUUUUUUUUUUGAGCAUAAACACUCGGUAGUUACGUAGAGAGAGGUGAUCGUGCCCGUGUGGGUGGGCUGUCUCGCUAGCUAUCUUAUCUCAUAGGCUGCAGGCUGGGCUUUUUUCUAGUGGUGCGCUAGGCUGGUUGGGCUUUCCUGGGUUGGUCCGAUGAAGAGAUCCUUGUCCGAGAGUUGGAUCGUUCCCCUUAAAAACAACAGAGAGAUCGAUCCGAGAGCGGAACGGGGAACGUUAGAAGAUACAUACAACCUGUGUUCUCCCCUCCGAAACCUAGCGUCGUCAAUCCUCUGCUCUCUCCCUCCAUAUGCCGGACCGGCGGACCCUAGGCGGCGGCGCAUCGAAACCCUAAACCCUAAACCCUCGCGUCCAAUUAAAUCUCGCUGCCGCGAAUUCCGUUCAGCUACUUCAAAGGUAAUGACGCGACACCAGUAUAUAUAUAUUCUCUGCUAAUAACUCAUUGACGUGUUCAUGCUCGAGGAAGCUUAUGUGGCUCGAUCGAAAGCUUCAGAUUUUCCUCUACCCGUUUCUUCUCUAGAAGAGAAGCAAAAUAAUCCGGCCGGCUUUGCGGGAUGAUUGUACCUGUUGGGGGCAAACCCUAGCCUGUCUCUCACACUCGGACAAAGGUGAAAGAUGAAAUAAAAAAAAAAUCCGACAACAAACACCACGCCACACGAACGGCCCCACUUUUCUCAACCUGGGCGCAUACCACCACUCGGCAAAACACCGUGACUCGGCAACACACCGACGCAAUACAUCAGUACACGGUGGGGUUUUUUAUACCCGGUUGCACACGCACAUACUAGCACACGCACGCACGCAAGACCUGGCCACCACUAGCACGUACACGUGCCCGACUGGCUGGCUAGCCCACGCACAGACUCGUGGUUUUUUUCUAACAGUACCGCGUCGAUCGGAAAAUUACAUUGAGCGGACUUGUAACUGGAGGUGAUGUUUUUGCUCGAUAUGUGUCCUCUUCGUCCAAGCAUGAUGCUAUCCUCUGCGAGACUGGGUUGUGGGCAAUUCUGCUUGAGGGAAGUUUUGGCGGCUCGUUGAGAGUGCGUGGAUCCUCGCUGUGUGGCCAUCCUCCGACGGCAACCAUUCUUGUUCUAGGUGGAACAACUCCAUCUUUCGACGGUGCGACGCUUAUCGAGCCAGGCGAGGUGGUUGUGGCCUCCUUUGGGAUGGAAUUGGAUGGUUGUGCCGUGCCGAGGUCCGUAGUUGUUGGUGACCACACUCCGUGUGAUGCCGGUCAUCCCUUCUCCUCUGUGACCAUCUGUUUUUCUUUUCCUUUUAAUGAAUAAACCUCGGUUAUAAACAUGUCCAACGAUCCACCUACGUUGCUCCAUCAUGUGUCUUUGCGGUGACUGGCCGAAAUUUGGACCGGUGGACCGGCGCCUAGCCCUAAAUGGUUAGUAGGGGGUAAAAAGCGCAAAUAAUCAGUUUUCUUAAAAUGUCUUCUGGCCUAAACGAACGAGACGAGCCGCGAGGCAGCGCCCAAUCAGAACCUCUUUCCAACCCCUCGUCGCCUCCUCGUCCUCUCCCUGCAACGACUUUUCUCCCCUCUUGUUCCAAACCCAAAUCGAGCCAAACCCCGACUUUCCAAAUCGCGCAGCUCGGCGAUCCGGGAGGAUCUGCGAGAAGCGGAGGCGCCGGCGCCGCCGGAGGCAGGCGGCGGUGGCGGCGAGGCCGUCAGCGGCGGCUGGGGUGUCUGCGAUGAUAACCCGGUCGAAGCUGGUGGAGCAGCUGCGCGACUACCNNNNNNNNNNNNNNNNNNNNNNNNNNNNNNNNNNNNNNNNNNNNNNNNNNNNNNNNNNNNNNNNNNNNNNNNNNNNNNNNNNNNNNNNNNNNNNNNNNNNNNNNNNNNNNNNNNNNNNNNNNNNNNNNNNNNNNNNNNNNNNNNNNNNNNNNNNNNNNNNNNNNNNNNNNNNNNNNNNNNNNNNNGGCCCCCUCUAAUAAUUUUAGGUUCGGAUGCAUGCCUACAGUUGAUUAAGGUGUAAUGCGAUUUGCUCUGACCUUGUAUUCGUGUGGAGCGAUUCGCUUAGCGGCUUAGUCAGCUGUGAAAUCGAUGUUGUGGCUGCGUGUGUUGAUGCCCGCAGGCAUUUCUUUCUAGUUGGUAACCUAGAUCCAGCAAAAAGCGUCGUACAACAGUUGUUAGAACAACAAUGCCUGCUACCUAGCGAUCCUUGUCAAGAUCUUUGCCGUGGCCUUUCUAAGUCAGUGUUGGUGGUUUUUUCUUCUUAUGAGUGCCUCGAUUGCACGUGUAGAGAGGAGUGUGCACUGUACUGCUUUCACCAUAUCAAAACCUGCAUGCAUGUGUAAUCCAAUUUCUGAAGGGUCGUGCUUUACUAAUUUUCGUCUUUGGGCGACCAGUUAGUGGUUGCCUGGUUCGAGGAACCGGAUGGUGAAUGAACCAUCAAAUCCUACGUCCAUUGUUUGGUCCGAGGAAUUGAACGUGUUAGUGCAUUUACUCUUCCUUCUUUGCAUAAACCAAGUACAAAAUGAAGGAUUGUGUCUCUAUUAAAUUUGGUAGACCAACCAUUGAUGGAUCAAGUGAUUCCUCAACAGGACACUCCACCUGUGCCUUCACAUGCUAUUCACCUAUAUCCAUCUCAGCUCUCAAAUGCAUCAUUUGGAAGAGUUUCAUAUCUCUUAGGCGGUUGUUAUGGCAAACUACUUGCUUGAUGUUUCCAUGAUGUAAAUGCUGUACCUAUGUUCGUAUCGAAUGCAUCAUUCAGAAGAGUUUCAUAUCUCUUAGGUGAUUGUUAUGGCAAACUAUACUCGCUUGAUGUUUCCAGAAUGUAAAUGUUGAACGAUGCUAGCUGACCAGUUUAUCUUGUUAUGAUAAGUUUCAUGCCGCACUAAAAGGCUGAUGAUUCAUGCAACUUUGUGGUGUGAUGUGUUAUUCUCCUGUAUUGAUCUGAAAUGAUUUCCUCUCACUGUUACCCCUCUCUCAGAUAUGCUUGCCUCUUUUUAUGAUCUGAUCUGAACAUGGUUCUGCUUUCUGAACUUCUGCAGGCGCGACCUUAUCGGAGCCAUCUCAUGGGGCUUGCUGUGUUGCCUCCUAAUAGUAUCCUCGUACAUGAUGCUAUACUUCAGGCACUUCUGGUUAUCAGCCGUCAUCAUCUCCGUCGGCAUCCUUCUUCCCGCCGGCCUGUAUAUUUUGAGGCAGAGAAAGCUGGCUAAGAAAAGAGAGCGGAGAUUAUUGUUGCCUCUCUCCAUGUAAGGUUAUCAUUACAUUGUAGUGGUAGGUUCCCCCCGAUUUUGCGGUUGUUCUUGACUAGACAGAAUCCGCAUUCCGGGCUUGCUUGGCACACAUCCAAACAGUUUGAUAGGCCUCUGCUGCCUAGUAUACGUCCACCAUAUUCUUUAGUCUUCACUAAAGUGCUGGAAGAAGUACACCAUCAAUUUUUGAUGCUCCAGUGUUGGGCGAAUGGAUACACCAGCUUGUGUGUUUCUGCUGCGGUUUGUUUUCCUCUUCUUCCUUUUUUCUUUUAAUGGUGCUUGCAGCCUGACAAGGUAUCUCGAUGUAUCCGACCGCCCCGAGUCACACUUUUGUAACUAAAGAAGAAUAGAUUGUUUUGUUGUUCUGAUGGAAUUUGUGAGCUUCAUGUCCUCUCCGGCCACCCUCAGUCAGUCAGUCCAGUUUGGUUUGGUUCCUGGAUCGAAGUGAUGACACUGGAUGUGGUGCUUUCGCAGAAUUGUAUCUGCACAAAUCAUAUAUCGAGCACUGUAGUGCUCCUGAAAUCCCUUUUGUCCCUGUAAUAUUUUACAUCAUAUGCUGCUUAAUAAUGGCAAUCGUUGGACAUUGGCGCUAUCUAUCUGGUGCUUCAGAAAGUAUUUUUCCUUUAUGCUUAUGUGCAGAGACUUUACCUGUUUGAAAAACUCUAGCAGGAAGUGAUCUGCAAUAUAUUCCAAUCCAUCCAGAUUACCUUGGAAGAGGAGACGGCUAUAUGCUGCUUUGUUGCUCUUUUAGUCUACUUCGGCUAUAUGGGAUCUAUGGCAAAUUGGCAAUUAUGUUCAGAGAUGCAAAAGAAAAUAAAUCAGAUGCAACUUGUUUGCUAGUCCUUUCUAGCAAAGAAGCUUGAAGGGCUCUUUGAUUCAAAGGAAUUUUAUAGGAUUACUGGAGGAUUGAAAUCCUUAGGAUUUUUUCCUAUGCUGGUCCUUUGAUUCAUAGGAUUGAAUCCCACAGGAUUUUUUCUAUGAAAUCUUUUGUACUACAUUUCAUAGGAAAUCUAACAUCCACUCCAACCUCUUUUUACAAUUCCUCUGUUUUUCCUGUGCCAUCAAACACUCAUGGCUAAUCCUAUAAGAUUCAAGUGGGCAUGCCACUUCAAUCUUAUACUUUUCCUAUUCCUACGUUUUCAAAAUCCUACGAACCAAAGAGGCCCUGAAUUGGAUCGUUGCAAAUGUACUUAAGCUAUAUGGGAUCUACGGCGAAUUGGCAAUUAUGUUCAGAGAUGCAAAAGAAAAUACAAGCGAUGGAAAAAGUAAUCGCGCCAGGUAGGGGUCGAACCUACGGCCUUCCGCUUAGGAAACGGACGCUCUAUCCACUGAGCUACAGGCGCUUUGAUGCCUUGCUUGUGAGGUACAACGUUUAUAUUUCAUGUUCUUUAGUGUGCAGCGCUUUGCCGGUACAGAUCAUGAGGAUGGCUGUUUCGUCUUCUUUUUCCCCCCUUGGUGGCAGCUGAAUAAGUGUGGAAUACUUAUUUAUGAACAUGCAUUCUCUUUUAUCUCUCUUUCGGUAUACACAUGCAAGCAACUAUCUACUCCGUCCGUUCCCAAAUAUAAGUCAUUUUAGAGAUUUCAACAAAGUACUAUAUACAGAGCAAAAUGAGUGAAUCUACACUCUAAAAUAUGUCUAUAUACAUCCGUAUGUUGUAGUCCAUUUGAAACCUCUAAAAAGAUAUCUAGGAACGGAGGGAGUAUUCUAAUCAAAAUGUCACGUUGCCGAGAUGGAGAGGGAUCAACCGACCAGCAAGAACACCAUAAUUAUUAUGAUUACCAAAUGUUCCACUGCAUGCGGAGGCAAAGGGAUCAAUCUGUUCUUGUUCUUCUCAACAUCUCUAUGGACAUCAGCAGGUUCAUCUGCAGCCUGACGAGAGGCUUCAGUAAACCUGAUCCUUCAGGUUUUGUCUUUCCUUAUGCCAGCCCAGUCUCAUUCACUCUGCUCCUCUUUGCUUUUUUCCUUCCGGAGGUCAAGGAAUGAUCUCUCGUACGAAAGAGGAGAGCAACUGUUUACCACAUGGUAUGUGUGGUAAGCAAUUUCAUACUCGAAAUGAUGCAGUUGAGUUAUGAGGCUUUAUUUAAGUGGUGAUCUACAUAAUAGAGAAUAGAAGUAGAUGAAAAAUACAAAACCAAAAAAAAAAAAGGAGUGCAGCUGUUUGGUUGCCAUCGUCUUCCGCGAGUCCAGGAAAUAAAAAAGGCAAGUUGAAAAAGUAGUCACCAAAGGUCCUAUGGUCUAGUGGUUAGGACAUUGGACUCUGAAUCCAGUAACCCGAGUUCAAGUCUCGGUAGGACCUCUUUUUUCGUUUAAUUUCUGUUUUGUACUUAACAUAUGGAGUUCCCUAGUUUUUUCAAGGAAAGGACUAUAUAUCAUAUCUUUAUUUAAUGACAAUUCCUCGUUUUUCUCUUCUCUAUGGGGUCUGUAAGUACUAUGUUUCAUAUAUUUUUUAAUGGGAAAACCUAUAUACUUCAUCCGUCUCAGAAUAUAAGGUGUAUUGAUUUUCAUGUAAGUCAACCAUUUAAAUGUUUGAACAAGAUUAUAGAAUAAAAUAACAACAUCUAGACUAUAUAUCAUAUCUUUAAUUAAUGACAAUUUCUCGUUUUUGUCUUCUCUAUAGGGUUUGUAAGGGCAUUUCUAACCGAUCCCUUAACCGGUUAGAGGAGUAAAAUUUAUGUUCUACUCCUUUAACCGACACCUGGCUGCUUCCUUAUCCACCGCAAGGGAGUAAACUUUUACCCAUCUCCCCAAUCCUCUCCCUAAAUUUACUCCGCCGAUUGGCGACUAAGNNNNNNNNNNNNNNNNNNNNNNNNNNNNNNNNNNNNNNNNNNNNNNNNNNNNNNNNNNNNNNNNNNNNNNNNNNNNNNNNNNNNNNNNNNNNNNNNNNNNNNNNNNNNNNNNNNNNNNNNNNNNNNNNNNNNNNNNNNNNNNNNNNNNNNNNNNNNNNNNNNNNNNNNNNNNNNNNNNNNNNNNNNNNNNNNNNNNNNNNNNNNNNNNNNNNNNNNNNNNNNNNNNNNNNNNNNNNNNNNNNNNNNNNNNNNNNNNNNNNNNNNNNNNNNNNNNNNNNNNNNNNNNNNNNNNNNNNNNNNNNNNNNNNNNNNNNNNNNNNNNNNNNNNNNNNNNNNNNGCGGCUGCACUUUCACCGACGCGACUCCCGACGCCCCCCUGUAGGCCCCGCCGCUACCUCGUUGCCUCCACUACCCUCCGUCGCCCUUCUGCCCGACGUCCAGCCCUUUCUGCCCCGGCCCCCGUCGCUGGAAUUAGGUGAACCGCCGUCGUCGUCGCCAUUGUUGUUGAUUCGUCGGAUUGUUUCUUUUCUUGUUCUUUUCUGUCGGCCGCCGCAUCUCACAUUGAUUGCACACCAUUGUAGGCCAUUCCCUCUCGUCGUCGCCGCCUUGUUUGGUCAGAACAACACCGGUCGGCCAGUGCACCACCACCGCACUGCAAGUGUUCGACGAAUUGGCUAGGUGAGUUUUUCGAUCGUGUCUUUGUGAACCGAGCCGUUUGGAUUGAACCAAGCCGUUUGAAUUGUAGAUGAAGAGGUUGAUGGAGAUGGCUCUAGAGGACUCAUCAUCAUCUGAAGAGGAAGAAGAUGACGAUUCUUCAGAUGACGAUGACUUUGACACUGUUUUAGGCAUGAUUUUCAAUGAUGAUGUUCGGCGACCGAGGAGAGGAUCACAUUUUGGCCGCAUACACAUCAACCAUGAUAGAGCGGAGGGUCAUGCGAAGAUCAUGAGAGACUACUUUGACACAAAGCCAACCUAUCCGGAGAAGUACAUUCGUCGGCGCUUUCGAAUGCACACAAGUCUUUUCUCACCAUUUGCAAAAGCCGUUGAGAGAUACGAUGAUUGGUUCAAGCUUCAGAGAAAUGCAUAUGGAGAGAUAAGUGCAAGCCCUCUAAUUAAAUGCAUUGCGGUUGUUCGAGUCUUGGCAUAUGGGUGUUCGGCCGAUGCAAUGGAUGACUAUGUCCGCAUUGGUGAAGACACAAUCUUGGAGUGUGUACGAAGAUUCACUAAAGCAGUGAUCGUUGUCUUUGGCCCGAAGUACUUGAGAGUACCCAUCGAGGAAGACACCCAGAGGCUGAUGGCUAAGAGUAAGAGGAUGGCCAGGGAUGCUUGGAUCGGUUGACUAUAUGCAUUGGACAUGGAAGAAUUAUCCUGUAGGGUGGAAGGUUCAGUACAAAGGCCACUACGACGAUCCAACGAUCAUUCUUGAGGCAGCUGCAUCGAAGGAUCUUUGGAUAUGACAUUCAUUCUUUGGUUUACCUGGCUCUCACAAUGACUUGAAUGUGUUGUCGAGAUCACCUUUUUUUUCUCGUCUUAUUAAAGAUGAAACUCCUACUUACAACUACUCGGUCAACGGGCACCCCUACUCAAUGGGUUACUACCUUGCGGAUGGCAUCUAUACAGCAUGAGUCACCUUGGUCAAAACAAUUCCGCGUCCAAAAUGUAACAAAAACAUUCACUUUGCCCAAUGUCAAGAAGCUGCUAGGAAAGAUGUUGAGAGAGCCUUCGGUGUGCUUCAGAAGCGUUUUGCAAUUGUUCGUGGCACUACCGAGUACUGGAACUCCAAGGUUCUAUGGCGGAUCAUGACUUAUUGCAUCAUCUUGCAUAACAUGAUCAUUGAAGACGAGAGAGAUAUGCUUGAGAACUUUCGGUACAUCACCAAUGGGACUCCGGUUGAGCCAGAGUAUGAUACGAACAUGAUCUUGGCAUUCCUUGAGGAGCAUCAACCGUCAAGUUCAUUCUCAGCUCCAACAAGAUCUUGCUGAGCAUCACUGACGAUGUCUUAGUGAUUCCUAGUUGUUCUAUCACAUGCUAAUUUGCUACAUUCGAACCAUUCAGCGUGUUUAAAUUUGAAUAAUCUGGAUUGUAAAUUUUGAAUUCGGUUUGUAAACUAUAUUGGUGAUUUGCAUGAACAUUCGAAUUUAUGUAUAGUUUCUAUAUGUACGCUAAUAUGUAGUUGCAAUUUAUACUAGAAAUGCAAAGUUCAGAAAAACAAAAUUUCACUCUGUUAAAUAUAGGGGAUCGGCUAGGUCCGGCCAAAACUUAGUGGACCGGGUAGAGUUGCCCUAAGUACUAUAUUUCAUAUUUCUUCAUGGAAAAACCUAUAUAUCAUAUCUGUAGAGGCAAUUAUUACCUUAAAUGUCUACGGAGGCAUCCUCAAACUUAGAUGUCCGAGACUUCUUGAAAUAUUACCUUGGGGUGUCUUUGGCAUCCCCAAUCUUUAGCUCCUGUAUCUCCUUUAUUCUUCUCAUAUGAUAGUCUCCCCUCAAUUUUAUAAACUCCAGUUACACAAAACUUCGCAACAACUUGUGAGAUACAUUAGUAUAAAUAAAUUCAAAACUUUUAACAUUCCUUGAUGUAACAAAUUAUUAUUUUUAUAGUAACAUCAAAUACUAAAUGUCUACAAAUUCCUAACAUAUUUAUCCCCAAAUAGAACAUUAAAGUAGCAAACAAUGCAACUAUAACAACAACCUGUCUAAACAAGACAAUCUGUAUAGGUGGAAUUCUUAACAUACUUCAGUAAAUCUAUAAAUUCUAAAAUAAUACCACGUAACAGAGAAAAUAAUUGCUUACAGUAUAAUUUUUUUAGCCUUUUAUCAUGUUUUAAAUAUCCAGGGAUAUUCAGGACAUCACAAGAAACUUUCUGUUUUUAAACAACAAGUCAUAAACUUGCAAACUGAGCAUGAUAAAGGCUAAACCUGGCACUUUGAUGAUAUCAAAUAUACAAAACACCGUCACUACAAUAGCAUUAAUCAUGUAAACACACAAAAAGCAAGAAGAUAAAUAUUUGGGUGUCUCCCAACAAGCGCUUUUUUAAUGCCUUUUAGCUAGGCAUGAAGGAUUGCUUCUCGUUUUCUCAUCAUCACUUUCUGAAAGUUCCCUCGGUGAGAAAGUUGCCCUUUUCUCUUAUAAUGUUAUCCUAAUCAUAACACUUCAAGGUAUGAAAUCAGUUUUUAGUUGACUAAUAAUAGGAUGCUCACUAAUCAUUUUUAGUUCAACUUCUCCUUAGAAGAUGAUGAAUUAGAUUGUUGUACCUUAGGAACAUAAAUAAACAUCAGACUUUUGUCUAUAGUGUAACUCCUAUUAACUUUUAUUGAAACAAUAGUUGUCCGCAAAGUGUCUAUCACUUCUGCUAACUUAUCUAUUCUUGAGGGUUGAUGAUCUAUUUUGUGUAGGUUGAAACUCUUGUUCUAAAUAUUUCAUUAUCUUAAGAGCCUCACCUACUGGGGAUCCAAGUGACAAUUAAUAUUGGAUCGGAGGGAGUAGCACCAUUAUGUAAAUUGUCAUAUUAUUCUCUAUGAUAUCCAAUCUCCUCACGAGGUGUUCAAGAGUAACUUUAGAUUCAUCGGUUGUUUAUUGGUGGUGAUCCUACUACACUUUCUAUAGCAUUAAAGGCAUCAAGAGUAUUGCUACUCAAAAAGCUACCUCCCAUUUUUUUAAUUUUUUUGGAUUAGUUUGAAUUACUCAAAAAGCUACCUCCCGUUAUAAUGUCAAGCAGGAAUCUAUUCCAUAAAGUUGCACCAAUGUAAAAAUUCCUAAUGAGCACCAUAGUAGAUUUUUAUGGAUUGUAUACCAAGAAUCUUUUAAACUUUCACCACCCCUUUGUUUAAAGUGAAGGGCUUCUAACUCAGGAGAAGUACCUGAAAUUGAAGAACUAGACAUGAUAUAACGAGCUAAAACAAAAAUUACUACUUGCUGCAAUUUUUGUGUGUGUGUGUUUUUAUGAUGUUAUUGAAAAAAGCAGAAAAGCAAAAUAAUAAGCAACAAAAAGUAACCAAGCAAAAUUCUGCAGCCUUGUUCAGAAAAUAAUGUUACAUAGGAGUAUUACCAAAGAAAGGAAAACUGCAUUUCACUCCAAGUGUGCACUAGUACCCCGGAAAUAUCUGCCGACGUGCCGCGUGAUUGGUCCACACCAGGCCCGGCGCGUCAGGACCGAUCGGGGCGGGGUUGGUGGCGGCGCGAGAAUCGAAAACCCUAGACGCUCCCCGUCCGAAAAUAUCUCCCCCCGCGCGAGCGAGUCAGGAGGGGCGACCCAAUCGUGCGUGGGCUGGCCCAGAAAGCCAGAGAGCCGCUCCUCGAGCCCAUCGCGCGAAAAUAUCUCGCCCCAGCCAGCCAGAUCGCCCGAUCCUUAUCCCGCGACGCGCCCGCGCGCCGUCCGAUCGGAUCACGACGGCCGGCGCGGCGCCGCGCGCGCUAUAAAAGGGGCGGGUAGGGCAACCUUGACUCCUCGUGCUUUCUCAGGGGUUGGCUUCUCCUCCCCACUCAGUCCUCGGUUCCCGGUCCGGUUCGGUUCCGUUCGGUUCGUUAGGGUUUAGUAGCGGGGAAGAGGAAGGCAUGGCGGACGUCGAGUACCGCUGCUUCGUGGGCGGCCUCGCCUGGGCCACCGACGACCAGUCCCUCCAGAACGCCUUCUCCAAGUACGGCGACGUCAUCGACUCCAAGGUACCGAUCCCCCGUCUCCUCCCCCGAUCCGCCCGAUAGAUCUCUAAAUUCGUAGGUGGAUCUGUGGUGUUGUGCUUGCGGAACCCUGGAUCUGACGGGUUUGGUGUGUUUUGGCGGUGCAGAUCAUCACUGACAGGGAGACGGGCCGUUCCCGCGGGUUCGGGUUCGUCACCUUCGCGUCGGACGAGGCGAUGCGCCAGGCGAUCGAGGCCAUGAACGGCCAGGACCUGGACGGCCGCAACAUCACCGUCAACGAGGCCCAGUCCCGCCGCUCCGGCGGAGGCGGCGGCGGCUUCGGCGGCGGCGGCGGCGGCGGCGGCUACGGCGGCCAGCGUCGUGAAGGAGGAGGCGGCGGCGGCUACGGCGGCGGCGGCGGUGGCUACGGAGGUGGCCGCAGCGGCGGCGGCGGUGGCUACGGCAGCCGUGAGGGCGGCGGCGGCUACGGCAGCGGCGGCGGCGGCGGCGGCUACGGCGGCAGCCGCGGCGGCUCCGGCGGCGGCAACUGGAGGGAGUGAAUGGUGGGGCCGCUCGCUGGCCAGUUAUCCUAGUUACCGAUCCUUUUUUUACCUGUCUACCAAAAGUGUUAUCGCUCGCCUCCCGAGUACCCUAGAUCUCGCUCCAUCGCGUAGGUUCCGAGAUGUUCUGGCUACCGUUAGAUGUGACGCCGCUACCGUUCCGUGUUACCUGUUCCGUCCCCGUUGGCUAUGAAUGAAAUGAAAAAUCAGAGCAAAGUUUGUUCGCAUAUGAUGCUUCUCGCGGAAGUGCAAGUUUGUUCCUUUUUCUGUUUGUGCCGUGAACGCUUUACCUUGCCGCUGGAUGAUAUUUUGCUGCACCCACUAGGGCCAUGUUUUGGUGCAGAUUCGGUAGCCCCUGAAUUCGAUUGGCA